rnacentral:lncRNA from 1 species
UGAGGGCGUAGCCGACCCCGAUGCCGGCGACGAAGCGGCCGAACAUGAGGAAGGCGUAGUUGGGGGCGAAGCCCAUGAGAAGGGCCCCCGCAAAGAAGAUGGCCCCGGCCAACACGAUGGUGUAGCGGCGGCCAAUCCAAUCGGAGGUUCGCCCCGCCAUCGGUGAACCAAGUAGCGAGUACACGGCGAGGAUCCCCGUCAAGAUCUCCACCUCCACAUCACUUAUCUUCAAGUCUUCUUUUAUGUAAAUGAUUGCCCCACUCAUCACCCCUAUGUCUGUCAAAAAAAUUUAAAAAUUUUUUUUUACAAGAAAUUGAGAGAAUAAUAGAAAAAUUAAAUCUCAUGACCUUUUCUCCUCCCCGUUUCUUCAAAUUGAUUUUCCUUUAUAUAUAUAUAUAUAUAUAUAUAUAUAUAUAUAUAUAUUAUUAAUAAGACGAUAAUAAUGAUAAAUAAUAAGCAUGAUGGACAUGUUAAUUUGGUUGGCUUAGAAAAAGAAAGCAAGUUGAUGAUGUCAUUCGAAAUCAUUUAUCCGAAUAGAUGCGAGUACGUGAAAAAAUAAAAAAUAAUUUUUUUUUUCAUUCCUUAUCCAUCAAACGAAUGACCUUUGCGAUAGAUCUAUCAUUAUUAUUCACAGUUUGCAAGUUAAUUCACAAAUAACAUUUUUCAGAGAUAUAUGUGCUUUAACGGGUCCAAAAUUUCGUGGGCAACGACCAUGGUGAGCCUCCCCACGCCUCACAACAUCGUAAGCUCCGCUCCAGAUUGAGAGAGAGAGAGAGAGAUGGGACUGACCAUAACCCAGCAAAAUGGAGGUCGUGGAGGCCAAGGUAGCGCAGGCCAUGGCGUACUUGUUCCGUCGCGGCCUCGCCGGAGGAUCGAAGUCCUCGAUCGACUUCGGUCGGAGGCCGUUGUCGGAGACGGCACUUUUGGCCACGGUCUUCUGGUCAGCCAUCUCCAUCUUCCCCACCAGAGAGAGUUCUUGUUUGCGAUUAUACAAGUGAUUGGAUAACAAGUGGAGAAGAAACGAGAGGAGGUGUGCGUGAAGAAGGUACACGGAACUGCUGGGGCGGAUGGGGAGUGUAUAAAUAGGCAAAAAAAAUAAAGCUGGCUUCGCUCGUCUCGGACUGAGGCCGAAGCUGGCGUCACCGUCGGUCCACGAUUCUGUGCUCUCGUGGGUCUACACUCACUUUGACUUGUAAUCUUCAUCGUCCAUUCUCUAUUACCCAAAGAUAAAAACAAAACUACUUGCGAAAAAACAUCUUUUUGUGAAAAGGCGCGUAUGGGAAUCUUUGUUAAUUUUUCCUUACGCACUCACGUGAAGGAUAUAUAUAGCGUUUUCAUAUUAUAUAUUUUCUUUCUCCACUAUCCUUCUAUCUCAUAUUUUAAACUUUGCCAUGAUUGUCAUUAUUGUAAUUCUAAAACUAUUAUUGUUUUAUACGAACUGAAACUAGGUUCGUCAAAAUGAGUCAUAAAAUCUUGUUUAACCCAUAUUUAAUGGAUUGGUAGUUACAUGGACUAAUUAUAUUUAGUAAAAUGUUCAUAUAUGGAUAAAAAAAUGGUAAAAUAAAAAAUAAUAUAAGUAUUAAAUGGGUUCACAACUUACUUUGACCCAUUCCACCUUUAUGACUCUUUCUUCAUUCUCUCGCUCUCAUUUGAUCUCUUGCUUACUCACUCCGCGCAAGAAUGAGUUGAACGAGAACAAACUCUAUCCAUUUGGAGCAAAUCCAUCCUACUAGAUAUCGUUACCUUAUUCUCCAUAUUUGGUAAUGUAUCUUAGGUCCUCCCUUCACUUGAGGAUUAUUACCGGAAGUAAUCAAAUUGUUGAUAUGAACCAACCAUAAUUCUCAAUUUAUAGUAACUUGUUAAUGAAAAAACCCUAAUUCUUUUUUGCUAUGAAAAGGCAUAUGAGGAAGUGAUUUCUAGCAAGUGUCCUCCUUUUGACUUUGCUGGCUUUCUUUUUGAUCAAAUCAAAAGGUGGAUGUCUGACACAGGCCUUGGGGCAGUGACACGAGAUUCUACACUUUGUGUGCAUGCCUGUUUUCUCAUAAAAUGUAUGUCUGAGAGGGAGGAGUGCAUUCGAGAGAUUGCUGUCAACUUGUUAAUUCAGCUUAGAGACAAGUUUCCACAGGUAGGCUGGUGCUGUAAAACUUUCUUUAAUCUUUAAGUUUUAUUCUCUUUUGUUUGCAUGCAUAGUUUAACAGACAGAAUUGCACACAUGCAGGUUCUCUGGAAUUCGUCUUGUCUAGAUUCCCUGUUAUUUUCUGUUGAUGAUGGCUCAUCCUCUGCUCUUGUGAAUGAUCCUGCAUGGAUAGCAGCAGUUCGGUCGUUGUACGAACGAGUUGUUCGGGAGUGGAUCAUUAAAUCUCUUUCAUAUGCUCCAUGUACUACUCAGGGCCUUCUUCAGGUUGAUCUACUCAUUGCAAAGAGCUACUCACUUUAAUUUUUGUUGGUGGUAUUUAUCAUAUUUAUUGAUAACAUGCUUCAAAAUUUAGGCAUAAAGAAUCCUUCUUUUUUUUUAUUUAUUUUUUAUUUUUUAUUAGUGGUGGCGUAGGGAAUGGGUGGAUUUUCUGUGCAAAGUGGUUGUUUCUAAAUCACGUGAAGUACCUGCUUAACAAUGCUGUUUUAGUGGGCUGAGUUGUCUGACAAAGCCGAAGGUUGUAGUUUGCUCUGACUGGAGCAGACAGAAGUACGACAUUAAAUUUUAUGCAGAAAAUUUUGUAAUUCCAUUAGGCUUACCUGCAUAUAUGAAGCUUUUAAGCCUUGAAACUUAAUUGCAUUGCAUAAAAGAAGUGCCCAGCUCUUGGUUCUGUUUGAUCCCAAAAAAAAGUGCUCUAGUGGACUUUGAAGACGAUUUUCGUUACUGGCAGGUCGUUAUCUUAUUCAGUUAGCACUUGUAUGAAUGAGGUGGCUCCACUGUAUCUUUAUCUAAUCUACUGUAGUUCUAAUUUCGUCUCCCCUUGAAUAAGUUUCACUGUAUUGAUUUGAUUGGGGGAGGAGGGUCUGAGGCAGAUGGUGGCAUUGUACUGAUAAUUAAAAGCAAUUGAGUCAUUCUAGAUGCUCAUUCUGGGACUCUGUUGCUGCAGCAGUCAUGGUUGUCUCUUUUUGAUUCCGAGGACUUGGUGCCCCUGUUUUGAGUUUUCUUUCCUUCCGACAUCUAGGCACUUCAUUGAAUUAUAUAGUUGCAUAUCCUGAUGUCUUGUCUGGUCUUUAUUAAACUUUUCCCUUGAUCUCCAUGUUCACUUUAGGAGAGGCUUUGUAAAGCAAAUUCAUGGCAGAUAUCAAGGCCUGCAACUGAUGUUAUAUCUCUUUUAUCUGAGAUAAGGAUUGGAACGGGUAAGAAUGACUGUUGGACUGGCAUACGAACUGCAAACAUCCCUUCAGUCAUGGCAGCUGCUGCAGCAGCAUCUGGUGCAAACUUGAAGUUGACUGAACCCUUCAAUUUCGAGGUACUCAGUACUGGCAUAGUCAGUGCAACAGCAAAGUGCAAUCAUGCAGGGGAAAUCACUGGCAUGAGAAAUUUAUUUAAUAGCAUUGGUGGAUUUCAAACGGGCAAUGCAGCUCAAGGUUUUGGAUUGGGCAUUGGGAUUCAGAGGUUGAAGUCAGGAGUGUUUACUCAGCAGAUGUCGGCUGAGAGUGAUUCAUUUGACAAGGUAGUACUUACAAAAUUCAUUCAGCAACUGCAGCAAUUUGUAAAUGUUGCUGAGAAAGGUGGGGAAGUGGACAAGACCUUGUUUCGCCAAAUUUGUUCACAGGCAACAGCCUUCCUAUUGUCAAAUAUGGUACAGAUAUACUCCUCAUUUUUAUCUGGGUUGAUGCAUACUUGAAUUCCUUUUGCAAUAUAAUCUUGUAAUUAAGAAUGGAGAAUCACUGAUUUCAGAAACGAGGAGAAGUAACAAGAUAUUUAAUGGCUUCAUAUUUGUCUACAGGAUCUUGACUCAAAAUCAAACAUAGAUGGUUUCUCUCAACUUUUGCGCCUUCUCUGCUGGUGUCCUGCAUAUAUCUCAACUGCUAAUGCCAUGGAGACUGGUGUUUAUAUUUGGACUUGGUUGGUGUCUGCUGCACCUAAACUGGGAUCACUUGUUUUAGCAGAGCUUGUUGAUGCAUGGUUGUGGACAAUUGAUACGAAACGUGGCCUUUUUGCAUAUGAAGAGAGGUACAGUGGACCUGCUGCUAGACUUAGGCCGCACCUUGCACCAGGGGAACCUGUAGCACAGCCUGAAAGCGAUCCUGUUGAGCAGAUUGUUGCUCAUAGACUGUGGCUUGGAUUUUUUCUUGACCGCUUUGAGGUAGGAUGAUCGAAUCUUUUCCUAAGAUGCUCUUUUUGUCCCAUUCCCCCCAGUUGCCUGUUAUGAAGGUUUUAAAUUGCAGUCAUGGUCAUAGAAGUGGUUGCGCUGCAGCAGUGGUGGAUGCGGGCAUAGUGGCUUUCCAAUAGCUGACGGCAUUCAUAACGGUCAUAAAUGUACAAAUAUGAUAGGAUAAAUUAACUUUUGUACCGUAAAUAGAGUUGAUAUUUUAAUUUUAUAGGACUAUUGUAGUGCUUUCCAAAGCAUUAGUUUGACAUAUGAAUCUAUGAAUCUUGUCAGAAUACCCCACAUCCAUUGCUUAACUAUGAGGUUUUGAUGAGCCUCGUAUUCAUGAAUUAUCCCUACAUAGCUUAAGUUUUUGUGUUAGAUAUUCCAACAUGGCAUUAGAGAUAGGUUUGCCCUUGAUUUUGUUUGUGUGCGAGGCUCCCCCUCUGUCAAUUUCCCAUGCCACUCUCAAUCCGGUUUGCUUGUUAAGGGUGCGUUUAAGUAUCCCACAAUGCUUUUUUAUGGGGUGUCAAUGGGCCUUAUGAUCUCGUCCCACUUAUUAAGAUUUUGGGUUGGAUAUUAUAACAAAUUUAAUAGGUAGCAGUGAAGGUAAAUGAUUGCACUAGCAAUUAUAUUGGACAUCUGAUGUUUGCAUGUAGAGUUUGUUUGUUUUACUUCGGUAUGAAGUUAUGCAAUAAUAGAAAUUCUUUAUCAUUUCUUACAAGUCUUUCCAAUUGAAGGCCUUUAGGUAUUGGUGCCAUCUCUUCGAUUGAAGUAAUCUGCCUUGGUGUUCAAUUUCUGUAAAUACUAGUUGUCUCAUUUGUCCUUAGAAUCAUUUAUCAUUCUCCACUUAAUUUCACUGAAAUGUGUUUUUAGGCAGAGCACUUUAUAAUGAUAUAGUAUAGUCAUGUAUAGAGAAAAAGUACACUUCUUCAGGUGCAUCAAUACACUUAGAGCAUUGAAUAAAAACUCUUUUCACUGCAAUUACAAGAGAUAUAACUGUAUCGAACAAGAUAACAGUCUUAUAAAGCACUUGUUUCCUCAAUUGAUAAAGGCUUUAGAAGUGCCCUUUCUGCCCUCUCGAACAUUUUCCAUUAAUUAUUGCUAAAGCAGGGACUUCUUGUCUUUGAUUUGGACAAGUUUUUCCGAAAGUAUCAGUCUCUCUCUCCUCAAACACUAUAUUGCAUUUCCAUAUCAAAGCAAGAGAGAACAUAUGGUUGCAAAUUAAGUAAAAGGUAAAAUUGUUAGGCCUGCAUUACUGUUAUUAAAAUAUCCCACAUCACCUGUUUACUGGGUUUGUUUGUGCAGGAUCUAUUUGUAGUCACCCUCUACCUAAUGACUUAAGCUUUUGCAUUGGAAAUCAUAACAUUGUAUCAAAAUCAAGUCUAAAUUCUUCAUGCUUGAUUUAAUAUUUUAACUUGUGUGUGGUUCUUUAUAUAUCUUGUUCCCUAUCUGUCAAUCCCACGUUGCUUGUUUAUGGGAUAUUUAGGCCUAAUAGACACGUGUUGUCUCUCUACCUAAUAACUUUAAGCUUUAGGGAUGUAAAUUCUGAUAAUGGCAAUUUGUCAUAGUACUUUGCUGAUGCAAUUUUGUUUUUGUUGUAGUAUCAUCUUUCUAGUUGUUACAGUUCUGUCUGAGUAUUAUUUAGACAUUUUAAAAAAAAGUGUUCUCCAAGUAUUUGGAAGCUGUCAGUAUGCUAGUCACUUUGGGUAUAAUAUAUAGUCAUAUCUAUGAGCACUUUUUUGGGGUUUGGGCUCUUUUUUAGCUUGUGGCUUUUCUUCUGAAAGGUUGGCACCUGCUCAGUUCCUCAUAGUGAAAUUCUCUCUACGUAUCUACAAAAUGAAAAGACAUGUAACUUAUUCUUCUAGAAUAGAGCAGUUAUUUCCUUCUCAUUGUUGUUUGUUUUAUAGGUUAUUCGCCACAGCAAUGUGGAACAGCUCUUGCUCCUUGGUCGGAUGUUGCAAGGAACUACAAAGCUUCCAUGGAACUUUUCACGACAUCCCGCAGCUACUGGUACUUUCUUCACGGUCAUGCUUCUUGGGCUCAAGUUCUGCUCGUGCCAGUCUCAGGGUAAUCUAUUUAAGUUUAGAGCAGGACUUCAGUUACUAGAAGACCGGAUUUUCAGGUGAAUAAAUUUUCCUCUACUGUGUUAUUUUUUUAUUAAAUUGAUACAGGAUUUUCAAACUGUGUUUUAUAUAGUAGGACAUUCUAGUCUCCACCUAAAAUUGCUCUCUGAAGGAGUUCCUUCCAUGCCUCCCUUUAUCCGCAGUUGUGUGGCUGUGUGCAUAAUGCCGAUGUGCAUGCUUGAUGCAUCCAUACUUCUACUUGAACAUCUACUUUUCGAAAAAUAGGAAAGAGUCUGCUGGUGGUUGUAGACUCAAUUAGAUUAGACGUAAUAGUUUGUCACGACUAUCAAUUGUGAUUUAUGGUGGACAGGAAUCUGAAGAUCCAAUACAAGUGGCUGAUACACAUAAUUUACCAAUGUUCCAUUUUCAGUAUAUAUGUCAUGUCUAGUGGAGAUUUUUUUCCAUGUCCUUUGCUUGAGCAUCAUGAUAAAAUGACCUGUGAUUUUCUAUGGUUUCUCUCAAAAGUGUAAGUGUGUGGGCCUAACCGUGUAUAUACAUACUUACAAGUGAAAACUAUAAUGAUUAUUUUGUGCAUGGUGUUCCUUUUUGGGUUGAUUUUCUCCUUUGAGUACCUCAUCUCAAGUCAGAAGUGAAUAUGGACCUGGUUAUUUCUUGUAGGGCUUCUCUGGGAUGGUUUGCUUAUGAGCCCGAAUGGUAUGAAAUGAAGGAUUUGAAUUUUGCCCAGAGCGAGGCUCAAUCUGUAUCCAUAUUUGUUCACUACUUACAGAACGAGCGAGUAGAUUCUCCUCAAUCUGACUUAAAGGGAUCAGGACGUGAAAAUGGGAGCUCUUUAUUCAAUGAGGUAAUUAACUCUACCUAACUAUGGUGGAGAAUCUUAAUAAAUGGUUCAACACAAUUUUUAUGCUCCUCUUUUUUCCAUCGAUUGGGUUCUGCUCUUAUAAGUAUAGAGUGUGCAGAAUAACAAAUACCAUCCUGUCUGGGGUGCCAUGGACAAUUAUGCUGUUGGAAGAGAGAAGAGAAAGCAGCUCCUUCUGAUGUUAUGUCAACAUGAGACUGACAGGCUUGAAGUUUGGGCACAACCCACUAACUCAAAGUAUUCCUCUGGUUUUCUUUUGUUAAUCCAUGUUUUGCAUGUGUUUAUGGGUAAUAUUGCAUGCAGUUGAUCUUGUUCUCACUAUAGCCAUGUUUGCCCUCAAUCCCAGGGAAGUUGGUUUUCGGCUCAAGAUAAGCUCUGAUAGAUGGAUUGAAUAUGCAAGAACUGCAUUCUCUGUGGAUCCUCGUAUUGCUUUGUCUUUAGUCUCAAGAUUCAGGACAAACCCUCAUUUGAAGGCAGAAGUAACUCAGCUGAUUCAGGUUUGUGAAGUUUAUCUUAUCGUAAAUGGGCUACAGUCAGACCUUAUAUCUGUUGCAAAAAAAUGUUAAGCUCUGAUACCAUGUUAUUGGUAAAAGAGAGUUGUUAUUAUUGAGAUCAAAAGAAGUAUUUAGAGGCUUAAGGUUAGCCUUGUACAAUUACAUAAAUAACCCCAACUUGUCAACACAAUAGAAUAAUAAGUAAUAAACCCAACUGGACUAAUAUUUCUAAAAUGCUAAGCAUGAGAUGACUUAAAUAGCAAGCUUUCUCAGAGUGAGGGAGCCAUCUUGUCAGCGUACUUAUAUCUGUCGGUCAGCGUGGAACAUCGUGGGACAUUGCACUUGGGGUGUAAUUGGAGCAUGAUAAUCAUAAUUUAGAAGGCGACUCCAGCUUGAUCUAGUAUCAGCAUUUUUGCUUGAACUCUACUUCAAAUGAUUUUUGGCAUGUUUGAGAUUGAUCUAAUGAUCUAACCAUUCUUGGGUUUCUGUCUAUAUGGAGCUCAAGCUUGAGCUUGAACUUGCCUGUUACUACAAUAAUUGUCAACUUAAAGUGAUAACUAUAGAUAUUUUUUUGUACAGUUUGAAGCUAGAUAAGAAGGCAAAAUUACUAUCUGAAUGAUCAUUCACUAAUUAGAUUUGAAAUUGAAAUUACAAAGUCUAAGUAAACUGAAACAACAUUGUGAAUGGAUCUAUUUUAAUGCUAUUUUUAUUAGUGCACAUAAACUUAUCAUAGAAUUUCAUGAUAUAGGAAAGCCUAACUGCAGGCAGACUUUGACUACUGCAACUGAACCACACUUAAGCGUUAAAUCCCCUUAGGACUGCAAAUUCAGGCGGAGCUCGACCUCCACAAACAAAUUCUCCUUUGAGAAUGUGCAGCUAAUGAGGAAAAGCAAAGAAAAUAGACAUAAUAUAUGACUAUUAACUUACAGGAGUCAGGAGAUAAUGAUCUCAACAUGUUAUCCUAAGUAUCUUAAUUUUCUCAUAGGAAAAAAGUACAGUUUUGUGUUGAAAAAGCAUUUCCUUGGCAAGAAAAACCCAACUAGUGUUGCCUGAUCUGACAUAAAGGAAUGGUGAGGAAUAGAGGGGGAAAAUCAUGUCAUUGGGGGACUGAGGAAGAAGUGACAGGAAGAUCAAGCUUUGAGUUGCUGCAGCAGCUGAAGCAAGUUAUAGCUGGGUAAUGGUUAACUAGAUUCUUGUGGAUAUAAUAAUGAUGACAGCAGCUUUAAUUUGUUGGAAAGGUCAGAGUUAAUGCGUGGUGACACUUGUUGUACUUAAGAUGCAUUAAAAGUAAAUGAGUACUGGAGUACUUGAUUAGGUCGCAACCUACACAAGUCACGCAUCACAGCAAGGUUGACCUUGGCUAAUAUAGGAUGAGUCAUCACCUAGCUGCCUUGAGUUUUUUGGCCCAUUUAUAGCUGACACGACUUAUUUGGGCUGGCCAUAUGGGUCCAUUUUCGGUGAUUUGAGUCCUGUUAGAACAUGACUUGUUUGUUGAUUGUGUUAGGCAGGUUGACAUGAUUUUGACAUGAACAUGACUAACAUGAACUCAACAUGCUAAUUUGUUCUCUGUUGUUGAAUCUAUAUAGGAAUUGCCAUUCCUAACUCCAUUUCAGAAGCCCAACUGGGGGACAUGGGUUCCUGGCGGUUGAUACAUCAGCCCCACUAUGGCCUUGUAGAACCUCUAGAAACUUACAACUUGUCAUUAUUGCUAUUACUAGGGUUCCCUGUACUUUUCUUCUCUUAAUCUUUACCAACUAAAACAGAUUCUGAAAUAUCUGUGAAUCACACAUAUUAGUGUUGUCUAGUUUCUAACAAAAAGUUUAAAGCAACUCAUGGGAGAAGUACAUGCCACAGAUAACUUUAGUUGGCAAAAAGUCCACUAUGACAUGACAGGCUCACUUCUCUCUCUCUCUCUCUCCCUGAGACUCAGAGACACACACACAUGUCCAGACGCGCACACACACGCUCCAAGCCUGAGGUGGAUUUGUGUAGAAGAGAAAGACUUGAUGACAGAGAAACCAAGGACCGAUUAAAAAUGAGGGAGCUGUAAAGUCAUUCCACGCCACACUAAGCAUAUAAUCAGUCUCUUUUUGUUUUUGAGAUUGGGUAGGAGACUUGAUACUCAGACAUAGAUGGAUUUACAUCUUUAGCUUUAGUCUUUUAUGACGAUGUGACAGCCAAUACGUACAUCAAGAUCUUAACAAUUGAGAGAGACCUAUAAAAUUAUGGAACCCAAAUGCUCAAAGGUUCAUUCUUCCACCUAAUUUCUAGCCCUAGGUAGUAAAGUAAAGUGGGAUUCUAUAUUUCUUGCUUCAGAUAAAGGAGGCAUUCAUCUGCUUAGGAAGGCCAAGUGAGAUUUUAUGGUAUGUAAGGGAGGAUGAUGAACUUCUGACUUUGGGAGCUCAUCCAAAUCUGAAUCUGUAGAAUCUAUGGAGAAUGUCCAUCUUUAUUGGAUGUUGUUCCCUGAUUUAUUGAUGGAAUUUAUUUUCGGUUGGUCUUUUCCAAUUUGGGGGUUUGGCCAUAAUUACUCUUUUUCUCGCCAUUUUGUUGGUUUCCACAACGGAUAUUCCAAUUGUAAGGGUCUGAGAGAAUAAGAUGCUGCUCCCAUUCUGUCUAUCUUUCCUCAUUUUGCUAACCUUCACCUUGAAGAUAGGCCCUAGGUGGCGGGUACAGAAGGAAGAAACCUAAGAGAAGCGUGUCUUGUUUUUUCUUAGGUCCUUUAUCUUUUUUCAAUACAGGGAAGAGCCUCAUUUUUUCCUCCCUGCAGCUUCCCAAAUUUUUUGUUGGUUACAUUGCCUAGCUCGGAAGAAAUUCAGUCCAUGCUGUAUUAGACUGGAAUAACACGUAUUAGUCCCCUAGCUGAUCAUGAAUCAACAUCUGAUACAAUUCAAUAAGAAAUGUAUUUUAUGAGGUACUUUAGGUGUCUAACCUUUAAGGGGAGUCUUAUCCCGUAAUCCUUUGUUUAGAAAUCAUAGACUGAAACUUGCACCGCAUUAGUUAAUAUCUCUCUGGACCUAUCUAGUCACAUCAAUUUAGCAUGUUUGACAGAUUUAGCAAAAGUUUCUACACACUCCUGUUGUCGCAUAUCAAAGUGCAUUUACAUGUGCCUUAGUGCAUAUGCCAAUGCACGCGCACUUAUAAGAUGCAUCAAGUACUGCAAUAUGUAUGCCAGCCAGGUACCUGAAAAUUUCGGAGCAUAUGUAUUUUGAGCUAGUCAAUUUCAAUUUUGUUUAUUCCAUGACCACAGAGUAUGUUCUACCAUAUUAAAGAGAUGUACGGAUAAUAUGAAACAGCAUUAAUUUGUGUUGGUCAUUUUCUUAUCAUAUUAGUUUAUGUGAGAGAAAGAGUUGCCUCCACUUACUGGAGCCUCAUAAGUAAUGAUUGGAGACACAAACGCCCUCCGCACAUCCUCCAAUAAAAAUAUAGAUGCUGUUUGUGAGCAUUUCAAUAAAUUAUAACAUUUGAUAGAUAUUGAUAUUUGCAUUUGAAACGAUGACACGCAUAAAGUGGCUGUAUUUUCCAACCAUAUGACUAAAGCAAGAUAUUCAUUUUUAAAUCGAAAGAUGUUUAACCCAUGUUUUCACACGUAUAUUACUUGAUUUUUGUUUAAAAUAAAUCUUAGUUAAUCUUAAUUAAUUAGACUUAAAAACACAUUAUGGAAAAGUAAGCCCAAUUAUGCUAGCCAAUAGUCAUACUAUUAGUGAAACAAAUUCUGUCCAUCUGGUAAAUCUCAAAUGCAACUUAGUUGACUGGCCUUUAAUCCCAAGCUGGACAUUUUCAGGCACUUCGGUGUCUUCACUUAAACUUCUCUUAAUUUAGUCAUAUGUUAUACGUCAUGCCAGUCUAGUCGCCAAUUUCAUUGCAAUUUCUUACUAUGGUUGGCUGUUGUUUCAAGCAUUGUGGAGAACCAGGAGGAACAAGGGCAGUUGGGCAGAAUUUCUCAACAUUUCUUUCUUUUAUAGAUGGUCUUGCCAUUGCUGGAGAUCAUGUUUAUGCUUUGUAGUUUCCCAUUGAAGUCGUCUAUUUAAUCAUGUCUAUUGAGUAAGUUCUUAGCUGCUAGGAUUGUUGGCUUCACAGUCAUAAUAAUCUUCUUAAAACGAUGACUAACUCAAUUUAUUACUGGUCCCUAUUUCUGUGUUUAUGUCUCUAAUGAUUUUCCCUGUGAUUUGCUGCCUUACAUACUGCAAUGUUCACCUUGCAGUCACAUAUAUUAGAUGUGCGGACCUUACCUGAAGCAUUGCCAUAUUUUGUCACACCGAAGGCAGUUGAUGAAAAUUCAGUGCUGUUGCAACAAUUACCCCAUUGGGCUGCUUGUUCAAUUACACAAGCUCUUGAGUUUCUUACUCCUGCAUAUAAGGGUCAUCCACGUGUCAUGGCCUAUGUUCUCAGAGUUCUGGAGUCCUACCCCCCCGAGAGAGUGACAUUCUUCAUGCCGCAGCUGGUUCAGGCACUGCGAUACGAUGAAGGGGUAAGCAAAUAAUAGCAUAUCAUUUUGUUGGUUGUCAUGUUGGGUUGGAUUUGGCAGAUCAGCCCGAACACCAUCAUAGUGCUGUUUGAGACCUGUCUUAGUAUAUUGGAUAGGAUAAGAAAUUUUCAAAUUCUAUGCCACAUAGACUUUUUCACGUCACAUAAUAACUGCAACAGGGGGAAGGAACCAUAUGAUCGAGUAUUCCAAUUUGAGCUGGACUUUUUAGUGUUUAACUUUAUAUGCCCAUUACUUAUCUUUGAACAUGGCAAUUGGAAAUUAGGUAUAUUUAUCGUUAUGUACCCUAGAUACUGGAUGGUGAGGGCAUGUCCAGAAAUGUUCUUAAAAACAUUAUUUUGAAUGAAUGCACUGGAAGUCCCAAAGUUUGUAUCCGAAGUGCAAUUAAACCUUAAAACUUUCAGAUCAUGCAAUUGUCCUGAAUCUUGUGAAAGUCGUGCAAUUAACUCUCCAUUAAAUCCGUUAAUUUACGAAUGUGGUCUUUUGACUAUUUUCUCUCUCCUUCUGUAUACUUUUGAGGAAACUUGGCUCUGAUGUGGCACCAGGUAGGUGCCAGAUCAGCAAAAUUGACAGAAUUCCCCCCCCCAAAAAAAAUGAGAGAGAGAGAGAGAGAGAGAGUCACCUGCGGUCUAGCAACCUUUAGAGAAAUAAGAGCCAUCUGUACUCUGUACCAAAGAAAAGACAUUUAGUAGUUGCUGCUACUUAUGAUUAAAGCAGGAACUCAAUGAAAUCAUUUGCUGUGAAAAUGUUAGAGGAGGAUGAUGUGUAGAUUUGUGCCUAAGCUAGAAUAACUAGGCAACUCCAGAGAUGGUCAAUGUAUAGAACAGUAAAGGCGUCAAGAAUUAAAAUAAACCUGUAAGCAAAUAUAAGGUGGGAUGAAAUGUUUCAGAAUUAACAUAAAAUGUUUAAUAAAUUAGACAAGAAGAAAAGCCAAGAUUUCGUUUUGGCAUAUAAAAGCAGAGGGGAGAGGGCAUCAGAGAACAGAAUAGAAUGUGCAGUCUUUUCUCUUUGGCUCUUCUUUGCAAACGCAUCAUGGAUCACGGUGGUGUCCAAUUUGACUUGCACCACACAGAUUUGCUACCACUGUCCACAGUGAGUUGGUGACAGCCAGUGGUGGAGUCUCGGCGAGAGGGUAGCUUUGCUGUUGUGGUAGUGAUAGUGGACGGAGGCGUGUUAAUGAUGGCUUGUGACUGUGACUAUGGGCGGCUGUGGCAGAUUUAUUCAAGUUGACGAUGAGAGAACAGAAAGGAAAAAAAAAUAGGAAACCAGGCAAAUCACUCCAUUUUUUUUUCUUUUUUAUAGUUUUCUGUAGGCUGAUUUAGCACCUACUUAGCUCCACAUCGGUGCUAAAUAUCCUUAAUGCACAAUAAAACACGAAACAAGGUCACACCAGAUAUUUUCAUUACCUAAAACCAACAGACUUACCAAAGGUACUUGAUUGCACACUUUGACAAGUUCUGGGACUCAAUGGCAUUAUGUAAAAUAGUAGGGCUCAAUUGGAAAAUGGUGAACCUCAGUUGUGGAGAUUGUCACCUAAAUUGUUUGGUGAGGGUGGCCUGCUUUUGAGCUGCAGACUUCUACCGUUGUUUCCGCUGAAAAUUGUGAAGAAACCUUUGUAAAGACAAGUGCUAUAGGUUGGAGUUGGAAAGCAGCAGAGUGUAUAAUUUUUAAAUCACAAUCUGUGGCUUGUAUUUCCUUACUUAAAAGCAAUUGACAUUAGCUGGAAGUAUUGAGAGCAAGCUACUGAAAAUAUUUCCAAGCAACUACUAAAGUCUCUUGUUUCUCUUAAAAUGGGCAUAUUUAUCUUGGUGUGGGUAUUAAAACCUGUAUAUAUAUAUAUAUAUAUAUAUUAAAUUUUCGUCUAGACUUGCUGAAGUGCAGAUUAUAACUUGAGCCAGACGCUUUAUGAGGGAUUUGCAUUUGGUUUGAUGAACUUCUUAUGUGUGAUUAACUGCUAUUCUGCAGAGAUUAGUGGAGGGAUAUCUACUGAGAGCUGCUCAGAGAAGCGAUGUUUUUGCCCAUAUAUUAAUAUGGCAUCUGCAGGUUUGCGAAUAUUAGUGUUUUCUUUUUCAAAAUCGUCUAAUGGAAUCAAUGAAACAUUUGCUUGUUGUGCUUAAUUUUUUUUUUAUAAGCUGUGAUCGUUUAACUGGCAGGGUGAGACCUGUGCAUCAGAGCCAGGGAAAGAAACCGUUAUUUCUGUGAAGGUGAAGCUAUGCCUCUUUCCUUAUAUUUAUGUUUUCCAUGAAACUGACUUAUGAAAUUGUUGAGUAGGAUUCUCUUAUGUCUUUGUUCCCACAGCUUUUAUUGAAAAAUCUCUGGAAAAAGAGGGUUUGGCUAUUAAUAACUAAUUUAAACAAUUGCAGUCCAUUAUUUAUUUCAAACAUUCUUAAGUAAUUUAAAAUUAUGUGUCAUGAAAAUAUCAGAAGGAAAAACUCUAUUCCUUUUAUUUCUGGGAAAUGAGGAAUUUCUUGGCAUUUCCAAAACAUUAUAUUUGCUAGAAUUGUGUGCAUGACUCACUUUUGGACUGUACAUGCUUUUCUUUGUUUUCAAGUGGGGCAUGAUUUUUUAUUUGGCAUUUUAAUCAUUUGUGGUUGCAAAAAGUCUCUGAUUUUGUUUACCUUGUAGCAUCUUUUUGCACUGCUGACAUUUAUAUCUGCACAUCUUAAGAAUCGAGAAGAAAAAAUUAAAAUUUUUAUGCUGUCCUGAUACAUGACACUGAAGAAAAUAGUACUGGCUUUUAGGUGUUUAAGAGGGAUUGGUGAGUUUUCAGAAUUUAAGUGCAUGUUGUAGAGUAAUUAUCAUGCUUGCUAGGAUUCCCUUUGAAUAGUCUUCUGUAUAAUGCUUGAUUCAGAUGAUUAGCUUUUCUAUAAGGAUGUCCUGUGUAAGGUAGUAAUAUCAGAUCUAAAUACUUCGGUUUAAGGGACUGGGUUUCUACUGAUAACUUGCAUCUUGGUGCUAACUAUGGCAAGCAUGAAAUCAUAUGAAAUGUAGGCAAUUCAUUUUUUAUCAAUAUGUUUUAAGCAACUUUUCAUGCCAUGCAAACAUCAAAGUUACAUUAGGACCUGAUGCAUUUUAUUUUCAACAAAAGUAGGUGAGCAGCUUUCCACUAGAAUAAUCUCAUUAUUCUUUUGCCUUCUUUUCAAGUCUAUGUCAUCAGGGUUUAUCAAGCAGGAAAAAAACCAUCCAGAUUUCAGCUAGCCAAGCUCUCUAAUAACCUGAAACAAAUAAAUGUAAAAAUGUAAAGGUCACUUGUAACAAGUCUGAAGUAAACUUGUCCAUCGCAUGCUCAAGGACCACUGGUUUUUCUGUGAUCAUAAUUUCUAUAAUCCUAAUGCUAUAUACGCAAUAACUCAUUUAAUUGUUUCAGAAUAAUAACUUCCAAGCGAUGUUGCCGGUUGUGAAGGAGCAUAUAAUUGAUGGUUUCACUCCUAAGGCCCUUGAUUUAUUUAAAAGAGAGUUUGAUUUCUUUGACAAAGUUACAUCUAUCUCCGGUGUACUCUUUCCGCUACCCAAGGAAGAGCGUAGAGCUGGCAUCCGGAGGUAUUCUUCCCUUUCACUGACAAAAUUAUGUCCUAUGAUAAUUAUUUAUUAUGUAUUGAUUGAAGUUGAUGCUCAUAUUCAUGGCAGGGAGUUGGAGAAAAUUGAAAUGGUGGGAGAUGACCUCUAUUUACCAACUGCUCCUAAUAAACUUGUCAGAGGCAUUCGGGUGGACAGUGGAAUACCUCUACAAUCGGCGGCAAAAGUUCCUAUCAUGAUCACCUUCAAUGUGGUUGAUCGUGAGGGCAACCCGAAUGAUAUAAAGCCUCAAGCUUGUAUAUUUAAGGUGAGUGUGCCAUAUCAUGUGCUUGUAGACCCUGUAUUUCUGCUUUUGAUUCCAUAAGACUUUUCAAAUUGCCUGGCUGACUUUAUUUGUAUCUAUGAACUCAUUGUAUGGGUUAUUGCUCUACCAUUAAAAAACCCAACCCUCAGGAAAAAUUGUGCUGAAUCAUUUUCUUGAAGGUUUCUGGAUUUUCAGUUAGUCCACUUAUGGUUGGGUUGGAAAAAAUUACAGUGAAUUGCAGGGGGUUCUUCCGCAUGCAUAAUGUUGUUUCUAUGUUUCACAUGGGCAUGGCACUCAAGAAGCUUACUUGAGUCCCUGUGCCAAAAGUCCAGCUCUUUUUUCAUAUUCUUAAACGUGCCAAAAAACAACUGAUUUUGUGUGAAGGUGAAAAAAAUGUAUGUCCUGUUAAGAAGGAGAAUUAGUUUGUGGAUAGAAACUAUUCGACUAGAUAGCUAGAUCAAGCUCCUACCUGACGUGUUAGCAUCUUGCUAAUGCGAAACAGCUUCAUCAGCAUCCUAGUAUUUGCAUUAUGGUGAGGAUGGCAGAGGUACAGAGGCUGUUUCUGUCUUACUAGCUCUAAAAACAAUCAGCUGGUCAGACUCAGGAAAAAUUUUACAUGCUUUCUUUGCGUGUUUUUCCGGUUACUUGUCUGAUGUGAAUUUUGGGAAUUAGCUGAUCACUCUUAUCAUCAAACAUCUUGGUGGGACAUCUUAUAAUGGCAGCAGUUAAUUCAAUUUCGACAUUGUUGUGCGGCUAGCAUCAUUUGACUGGAUUGGGGUAGGUUUUGGUAUAUCAAGGAUGACAGGCUUUUCAUUGACUCAGUUAAUCACAUAGGCUUUGUAAGUAGAUGAAUCAAUAGUUUAAUGACCAAUAAAGUAGAUGGACACCAAAGUUGACAUGUAAGUAAUUGCAGUUAAACUUAAUAUGCCUGUUUCCUGGCAAAACUGAUUGGACAGUAAAAGUAUUCUGUACAUCGAUGAAAUUGUUACUUUUUUAGUUCUGAUCAAGUGAACAGCCUCUAUUUGGAGAAAGGAGAAAAAAGAGGGUGAAACGAGUGUGUGGGAAAUGAGUGAGAUUUUGAAAUUUUUGUGAGAGGGAAAUGAGUGAAAAUUUUGAAUUUUUGGCAUAUUCUUUCCAAAUUCUCCAUCUGAAAAUAGGAUCUAGAAUCACCAUACCUUUGCUUCUGGGAUAAAUAACUCGAAUUUAGUGAGGCUAAAUUCAAGAUCUGAGUUAUGAUUUGUCUCCUGUGCAAAGCUGAUAUCAUGAGAAUGGCAUUCAGUUCUGUUAGGAUGUUCCAUGCCUUAAAUGUCUUUUGGAUUUUGUUAUUGUUCUGGUCAGUUUGACAGCAAAAUCCACUCUCGUCAUUAAUCUAACAAGGCCAUCAAAUUUUGCCAGGUUGGAGACGAUUGCCGGCAAGAUGUCCUUGCUCUUCAAGUGAUAUCACUUCUUCGAGACAUAUUUGAAGCAGUAGGGCUUAACCUAUAUCUCUUCCCUUAUGGUGUUCUCCCGACUGGCCCAGAAAGAGGAAUCAUUGAGGUGAUUAUGUUUUCAUGCCUUAAUAAGUUUUCGGUUGACACCGAUAUCAUCAGGUUAUACUGCAAGAAUACCUCUAUAAGCAUCAUGUUUCCUUUGAGUGCCUCAUGUUUUACUCCAAUGUUGGUUUCAUUUUAUCUUGUGUUAGCUUGUAGUUGCUGUGUUCUGAACCUCCAACUACAUAUUAUAUAGGUAGAACUGCAGGUUUUUAUAUACUUUUUUUUUUUGAUAAUUAUUUGUCUAAUAUCCUUUCCCUUCUCGGUAUAUAGUUAUAAAGUCACGUCAAUUUUUGUUCUCUGGUCCCAGCAAUGUGUCCUUUUGACCUUCUUUGUUCCCCUCAGAGUAUUUUAUUUUAGUGCGUAGAUUGAGAGAGAGGGAAAGUCCUUGCUUUUUCAUUUUGGCUGCUUAUGAUAUGUAAAACAAUUGAAUACUAUAAAAACAGUUUUUUUUUUCCAGAGAUAUUUACUUCGUUCUGAUGUUGGGCUCUUGAUAUUGGCUGUGUCAUUUACCAGCAAACACAUGGCUUUAGAAAGCAUGAGUUCGCUUUAUUUAGUCAGCUAUCUAGUUGCUUAGUCUUUGUUCAUCUAAGACUUAAUUCAGAUGGUUUCAAGAAAGGUAAAACAUGUAAUGAAACAGAAGGCAUCUAAUCAUCAGUUAUCUAUAAAAAAAAUUGGUAGUCCACUUCCCUUUCCCAACAGGGAAAUGAUGUCGAUUGUUUGGUUUUGUACUUUUUUUCUUGGAUAAAUUUGGUUUUGUACAUUUUAAUGGUCAUUCUUUUAGCUUUAGGGAGGUCUCUUUUGUGACUUUGUAAUUAAUAUUUUGUUUUGUUUUCUUCUUUUCUUGUUAAUUGAAGGAGUGGGGCGGGUAGCUUUUCGAAUAAGUUGAGCAGAUUCUUGGAAGUAUCUAAUAAUUGGUGCACUAGGUUGAAAGCUUCCAGUCCCCAGUCUUUCUACUUUGCAAAUCUAAAAUGUGCUGAUGAUCUCAUUUAAAUAAUUUAGAGUCUGAAAAAAAGUAAUUAUCCAGAGUUCCAUACUUUUAGCUCUGCCUGAUAAGUAGACCUUCUAGUCCCAUUUCUGCAUACUUAAGGGCUAAUGCACUAUUGCUGGACAAUGAUGAUGAACACAGAUAAGAGGGUCUUUUAUUUCUGUUAACUAAAUACUUGUGCUUUGACAUAAUCUACAUGUGUAAUUUUCAGUAACACUUUUGUCUCCGUAUGUCUUCAGUACUUAAGGAAAGUACUUUUUUGUUAUAAAACAAUUUAUACUCGCAUAACACUAUAUUUUAAUGUUAUGGUGGUACUUAUAUUUGUGACAUAUCUCAUACCUAAUAUUUGAUUGUGUAAGAUGUAACUUGUCAUUUAUCACUCUUGUAUGAAAUGUUUGAUGAUAUCACUUCAUGUUCGUACAAAUAAAUACGCUGUUCUUUUGAUUUUACUAAUAUGAAUAUGAAGGUGUUCAUGAAAAAUACCAUUUUUUUCAAUUAUAUAAUAGGUGGGAUAAAGUUGGGAUAAACAUUACUUUUAGAUCCUAUUACAAUAAUCUUGAUAUUUUGACGUACAUUUCAGAAAAAUAACUAUAUUUCCAUCCUAAUCCAUUAUAUUUUUCUAUUUUUCACAUAUCUUACUAAUGGAGCUAUUGUUGGCCAAAAGGAAAAAUUGAUAAAUGUAGAUUCAUUUUUACUGGAGUUACUAUAUUUUGAAUAGUUUGCUCAAGAAAAAAAUAAAAUGAGAGCUUUCAAAGGAGAGGAAAUACUAACCAUGUUGAACAUAGAUGGCGUGCACCGUGGAGUAUCGAUAUUCUUGAGAACACUCAAAAUUUACGGGCUGCCUUACAAUGUUUUCUUUUGGCUUGCAGGUUGUGCCCAACACUCGUAGCAGGAGUCAAAUGGGUGAAACAACUGAUGGGGGUUUAUACGAAAUAUUCCAACAGGACUAUGGGCCUGUUGGUUCACCCAGUUUUGAAGCUGCACGUGAAAAUUUCAUCAUUAGUAGUGCUGGUUAUGCAGUUGCUAGUCUUCUGCUUCAACCAAAAGAUAGGCACAAUGGCAAUCUUCUUUUUGACAAGUACAUCUCUCUUCUGUCCCUCCUCUUUCUCUCUCACGUAUAUCCAUUCUACUUUUGCCUAGUUCUCAAUGUCAUCAGGCAUACUUAAGAUAAGAAAUAAAAGAAAAUGCCAUCAGGCAUGCCUUUUGAGUACCACUUUGGUCAUAUAUUAUUAAGGAUAAGAUGGUUCAUUUGAUUGGAGAGGUUACAUUUUCUGUUGACUGGUGAUACUAUUCAUUCAAGUAGAACUUCUUUUAUAUUGCUGAAAAGUUCUGCAGAAAGAUCAAGGAGCCCUAACAAUAUGAUUAAUGCAGCAUGGGAAGGCUUGUCCAUAUCGAUUUUGGCUUCAUCCUAGAAACAUCACCAGGUGGAAAUAUGCGUUUUGAAAGUGCACACUUUAAACUGAGUCAUGAAAUGACUCAACUACUUGACCCCUCUGGAGUCAUGAAGAGUGAGACUUGGAAUCGCUUCGUGAGGUAAAUUAGAUUUAAUACAGUCAGCCAUGGUAUCUUUUAUAGUUUGGCAAUUCGACACAAACCUAGCACAUUGUCAAGUCUAUCUUAAUUGAACUUAAUCCCUUUUGUCUUUUCAUUGUGCUUAAACUAAUUUAUAAAAGGCGAAGAAUUUAAUAUCUGGUGUGUGAGAGUUGAUCUUCAUAACCUAUAUAAAUACAGUCAAGCGUGUUUGAUUAAGCAGCUUAACAUUUUAUAAAUACUAAAUGAUAUAUCUACUCAUAAUUGAAUCUGUUAUAUCCUUUUAAACAUGUUCAAACAUGUUUUAACACUUUCACAUAUGGGAAAUCCUUUGUAAAAUGUGUUAAGCAUGUUGUUCACGGGCCGCACAUAGUUGGACAAGGCUUAGUUUAUUGUUGUUGUGGCGAUUGUUGGAUGGUGUAGGUUGCAAAGAUGCAUUGUAAUCUAUGAAGUUGUCAUGUUAAGGUCAAGGAAUGUGUGUAGAAGUUACGAGGGAUUCUCAUGUUUACUAUGCUUAUAAUAGCUUUAAUGAAUUCCCUUGUUGAUGAAUCAGUCAUAUCAAAACUUGACGUUUGCCUUGUUUAUUUUAGAUUGUGUGUGAAGGGCUAUCUUGCUGCUCGUCGUCACAUGGAUGGUAUCAUCAACACGGUGUUAUUAAUGGUUGACAGCGGAUUGCCUUGUUUUAGCCGUGGCGACCCCAUCGGCAAUCUGCGGAAAAGAUUUCAUCCUGAAAUGAGUGAGCGUGAGGCGGCGAAUUUCAUGAUCCGCACUUGCACGGACGCGUACAACAAAUGGACUACUGCCGGAUAUGACCUAAUACAGUAUCUACAGCAAGGCAUAGAGAAAUGAUUUUUUUAUUAACCCUCCUUUUCUCUUUCCUCUUCGAUUCUUAGUGAAGCUUGUGUCUUCCUCUGUAAAUUAACGCUUCUACUUCGUAGGAAUCAUUUUAUAGUCGCGAUUGUGACAGGGAACCCCCCGCGAAAAUCCGUGUGAUCUCUCAUGUGCAAUUUGAGUUGUUGACGACCAUGGGGGUUUCCGAUGAGGUUUUCAGACAGGCUGUCCUCACAUUGUAUUUGUGUAAAGAUGCUUAGCUUAUAUUUAUAUAUCGUUGGUUUGAUUGGCACUUCGAUUCUCACUCGUGGACAAAGAUGAACUGCUUUACAAGCAUUGUUUCUAAUGCUCUCAAUUAUGUGACAUGAGAUGCGGUGAGUGCAUCCUUUAAGGCCAAGAUCUCUAUCAUAAGUUAUAGCGAUGGGUCCGACAUCGAGUGAUGUGUGGCUGUCCUAAGAGACUAGUUAAUCUUUUAAAGUUGCAGUGGGUACGCAUCUCGGCGAUGAUUCUUAGAUUAUGUAAUGGAAGUGGAUCUUGUCGUUUGUGUCUCGAACAUUGCCGGAGGAGCCUACUUCCCGGCUUGAAUACACAAUGUAAUUCCUUGAGAAUGUGCUUCUUGCCUUGCUUUCAUAGUUAAUUUGAGCGUCUACUCUAAAUGUUCUUGUACAUUGUUGAGAAAAGUUACUUUGUAUUACUCAAUAAACUUUAAUAUAUAUACAUAAAAAAUAAACCCUAAAAGUGGUAAAGACUAAUUUACCCUUCUUACUCCUAACACUCCCCCUCAAGCUGGAGCAUAAAUAUUAAUCAUGCUCAGCUUGUUACAAAUAUGUUCUAUCCUCCCAUUACCCAAUGACUUAGUAAAGAUGUCUGCAAGUUGUUAACUGGUUCGAACAUGACUGGGAAGAAUUACUCCAUUUUGCAACUUCUCUCGGAUAAAAUGACAAUCAACCUCAAUAUGUUUUGUUCUCUCAUGAAACACGGGGUUGGAAGCUAUAUGCACAGCAGUUUUAUUAUCGCACCACAGAGUCAUGGGUACUAAAUCUUUAAAGCCUAACUCAGUCAAUAACUGUCGAAUCCACACUAAUUCACACGUCACUUGUGCCAUGGCUCUAUAUUCUGACUCAGCACUAGAGCGAACAACAACACUUUGUUUCUUACUUUUACAUGAUAUCAGAUUUCCUCCGACUAAGGUACAAUAUCCAGUAGUUGAUCUUCUAUCAUCUGGAGACCCAGCCCAAUCAGCAUCAAAAAAACCUUCAACUCUGUUAUGACCAUGGUUUUGGUAGAGAAUUCCUUUUCCCGGAGCUUUCUUCAAAUACCUCAAUAUCCGAAUUACUGCAUCCUAGUGAGAUGUACGAGGGGAAGACAAAAACUGGCUUACUACGCUGACAGGAAAAAUAAUGUCUGGUCGAGUAACUGUAAGAUAAUUAAGCUUAUCUACCAGUCUUCUAUAUCUCUUAGGAUUAUUAAGAAUUUCUCCUCCAUCAGCAACUAAUUUAACCCCUUGUUCCAUGGGUGAAUCAAGAGAUUUUGAUCCCAACAUACCUGUCUCAGUGAGCAAAUCCAAGACAUAUUUUCGCUGUGACAGAACAACACCUUUUUGUGAUUGUGCCACUUAGAUUCCUAGGAAAUAUUUUAAUUUUCCUAAGUCCUUAGUUUGAAACUAUUGCUAAAGAUAGGCUUUUAGCUCAGCUAUACCAACCAAGUCAUCUCCCGUGAUGAAAAUAUCAUCAACAUACACAAUCAAGAAUAGUUUGCCUCCCCCUGAUUGUUUAUAAAAGAAAGAAUGAUCAUUUCCACAUCUUGAUAGCCCAAAAGACAAUACAACCUCAGAAAAUCUUACAAACCAUGUUCGUGGAUGUUUCAAACCAUAUAAAGAUUUUUUUAAUUUGCAAACUAGUCCAGACUCCCCCUGAGCAACAAACCAUGGAGGUUGCUCCAUAUAAACUUCCUCAUGAAGAGUGCCAUUCAAGAAAGCAUUCUUAACAUCAAGCUGAAAUAAAGGCCAAUUAUACGUUGCAGCAAGAGAGAUCAAAAUACGAACAAAAGUAAGUUUGGCAACAGGAGAAAAUGUGUCUAGAUAGUCAACCCCAUACACCUGAGCAUACCCUUUCGCAACAAGUCUUGCUUUUAAACGAGCAAAAGAACCAUCGGGGUUAACUUUUACAGCAUACACCCAUCGACAACCAAUAGCAGUUUUGCCUAGAGGAAGUGGUACUAAGUCCCAAGUUUGAUUAAUCUCAAGAGCCUGUAAUUCUUCUUCCAUUUCUGUCCUCCAACCAGAACUUUGUAACGCCUCAGCGACAGACUUGGGGAUAGGAUAUUGUUCAACAGUAGUUAAAAAGGCUCGAAAAGUAGGAGACACAGAAGAGUGAGAAAUAAAAUUUGCAAUAGAAUGUUGAGUACAAGUACGUGUACCUUUGCGAUGAGCAAUAGGAAGAUCAAGAUCAGAUACAAGAGGAGGGACAGCUAACGGCGGAUGUGGAGCUGAAGUCGACGUAGUAGUGACAUGAGGAGCAGGGGGAGCAGUAGUAGCAUCACGAUGACGUCGUGUAUAAACCUGGAGAGCAGGUGGUUUCUCUGUAGAUACUGGUGAAACAUUGGGAAUAGUAGACCGAAUGGUGGUCACAUACAAGUCUUCAUCUAAUUCAGACACAUCAAUUGGAACAUUAUGAUAAGGAGUGGAUUCAAAAAAUGAAACAUCAGCUGUUACAAAAUAUUUUCUCAAUAAUGGAGAAUAACAUCGAUAUCCCUUUUGAGUGCGGGAAUAACCCAUAAACAUACACUUGAGUGCCUUGGGAUCAAGUUUUGAUACUCCGGGUCGAUGAUCACGAACAAAACAGACACAACCAAAGAUACGGGGUGGUAAGACAAACAGUGGUUCACUAGGAAGCAAGGUGGAAAAAGGAAUACCACCUUGCAGAAUAGAAGAAGGCAUGCGAUUAAUGAGAUAACAUACAGUUAGAACAGCAUCAGACCAAAAGGUUUUCGGUACCUUCAUCUCAAAUAACAUGGAUCUAGUAACUUCCAAUAAAUGCCUAUUCUUCCGUUCAGCAAUACCAUUAAGUUGUGGAGUAUUAGGACAGGAAGAUUCAUGGAUCAUACCAUGUUGAGUCAUAAAAUCAGAAAAGGAUGUGGAAAAAUACUCCUUAGCAUUAUCAGAACGCAGAACUUUAACACGCAUGCCAAAUUGAGUAUAAAUUUCAGAUAUAAAUGCACGAAAAAUAGAAAAUAAUUAUGAACGAUCUUUCAUUAAAUAUAACCAAGUAACUCUGGAAUAGUCAUCGACAAAAGUAACAAAAUAUCUGAAACCCGAAUUGGAAACCACACGACAUGGACCCCAAAUAUCUGAAUGAAUUAAUAAAAAGGAGAUGCUGAUCGUUUAAUGACUCGAGGUGUAUAACUAACACGAUGUAAUUUGCCAAGUUGGCAUGACUCGCACUCUAGACUAGAAAGAGAUUGAAAACUAGAAUCUAACUCUUGAAGACUACGUAGAGAAGGAUGACCAAGACGACAAUGGAUUUGAUGUGGGGACGCAACACUUGUGUAAGCAACUGAAGAAGCAUCUUCAAGUACAUACAGCCCCCCUUCCUCACGUCAUCUACCAAUCGUCUUCUUCGUAGCCAGAUCCUGGAAGACACAAGAAUCAGGAUAAAAAGUUACUGAAUACUGAAAGUUUUUGGUUAACUUACUAACAGACAGUAGGUUAAAUGGAAAUUGUGGAAGAUAAAGCACUGAGGACAAAGGUAAUGAAGGACUUGGGUUAACUGUGCCAAUUCCCCUAACAUGUGUAGGUGACCCAUUGGCUAGAGUAACUAUGGACAAAGAUGGAGAAAAAGAGGAAAAUAUACCUGAAAGACCUGACAUGUGAUCAGAAGCCCCCGAAUCAAUGAUCCAAGGACGAGAAGUAGCUGAAAGACAUGCAGUAGCAUUACCUGUCUGAGCCAAAGUAGCAGUGGAAGAAACAGGCUGUGAGAUUUGAGACCGUGUGUACUGAGCAUAUUCCUCACCAGACAUAACCACCACCUUGUCUUCAGAUGACUGUGGAGUAGGGUCAAUAUUAGACGCAGUAUUAGCAAACUGGUGCUGCUGCCCUGGUCUCCCAUGUAGCUUGUAGCAAAAUUUUUUAAUAUGACCAGGUUUGCCACAGUAAUGACAAACUCGUGUAGUUCCCGAAUUAUCAGUAGAUAUAUGGAAUUGCCCAUAAGGAUGCUGAUUACCUUGACCUCUCCCUAUUCCAAUGCCUCGGCCUCCUCCUCGGACACCACGCCCACUAUACCCGCCACGGGUUCCUCCAUCACUCCUAUUACCACUACCAGUUCGAGUCUGGGAGACAAGGGCUGAACUCCCCACCAUAGAUGUAGUAUCCUGAGAGGACUCACGAGAUACUUGAAGAACUCGAGCAAAUGUAUCUGUGAGUGAUGCUAUAUUCUCUCCUCCAAGAAUUUGAGACCUAACAUUUUCACAUUCAGAACCAAGACAUCCUAAGAAUCCCAUUACAGCCAAUUGUUCCCUUUGACGUUGCAUUUGUUGAACAUCAGCUGAAAUAGGGAGAACAGCAUUCAACUCCUCAUACAAUCUCUUAAAGUCUGCAAAGCACUGAGUAAUAGAGCGCCCCUUUCUUUCAAAUCGAUAAAACUCCUAUGAUAGCUCAUAAAUCCGUGACAAAUUAUCUUGCCCAGAAUACAGCACAUUCAAAUACUCCCAUAGUUCUCUGACUGUAUCAAUAUGAGUUACCAUGUCAACUAUAUUACUCUCCAUAGAAUUAAGCAUUUGACCAAGAAUACGCAUCAACACCAUCCCAAGUUACAUCAUCUCUGGGCUUAAACUCAGUUAAGUGUCUAUGUUGAUUCCUGCCUGUCAAAGUAAGCUUCACAAUUUUCUUCCAUUGGUGGAAGUUAGCACUACCUGCGAGCUUCUUAUCAGUAAUUCGAUUAGAUGAAGAGGAAAUCACCUCACUCAUCACAGUAUUAUUCUUCUUAUCGCCCAUUUUCCAAAUAAGAAUAAGCAAACUCUGACCUUAGCUUCCGUCAAACAACUCAGCCUCAACAAUUCAAUAACCCAAUAUUACCACUACCAAAUAAAAUGACAGAAGCUACCACACAACUUUCAAAUUAUCAAAUAAAUAACUGCACUAUACCCAAGCAGCAACUUGCUUCAUUAAUCAGCCAAAUCAGCCAAAUCAGCAACUUUAAAGCAAAUUCUAACCCACAAAAUCAUCCCGAUGAGUGCUAUUGCACUUUGUCGCUACUGCAACUUGUCUUCUUUCUCUCUUUAGGGUUUUCCCUCUCCUUCACUGACCUCACGUACAAGAAGCGGGACAGCUACACCACCAAAUCCAACAAGCAUAGGGUCGUCAAAACCCCUGGUAGGCCAGCAAAUCGCACAAGCACGAGCGCGCGGAAGUCGCACGAGCAAGCCGUGCGGGCAGCGUGAGCGGCGCGAGCCGAGGGAGCCGCGCGAAAGAGCCCCGUGAGCGAGUCCCGCGAGCGAACCACGCGAGAGAGCCGCACGAGCAACGCAAGAGCGAGCCGCGCGAGCGAGCCGCACGAGCGAGCCGCGCGAGCGAACCACGUGAGUGAGCCGCGCGAGCUGCGCGAGCAACGCGAGUGAGCCUCGCGAGGGAGAAGCCCUAUUCCGGUGAACGGUGGUGGCGAGUCGACGGCGGUCUGGCGAGUCGACGGUGGCGGGCGGCUGCUCCGUCGUCUAGGGUUAAACCCUAGGCUCUGAUACCAUGUAGAGAAAAGUUACUUUGUAUUACUCAAUAAACUUUAAUAUAUAUACAUAAAAAAUAAACCCUAAAAGUGAUAGACUAAUUUACCCUUCUUACUCCUAACAUACAUAUAUCAAUACUUUGUCAAAGUGUACCUUUUUCAUCAAUUUCUAUUUCAGUGUAAUGUUGGAUCAUUCGAGUUAAAAAAAAAAUUAUAUGAAGUUUGAUGAUGGCUUUCUGUUAGGUGUGGCAAAAUGCGUCUAUAACUCACUUUUUGACUCAUAUUUUCUUAGUUCGCGGUUCUUGCGGAGUCUUGUUGAUCCAAUGUCGAGCUCCGGUGCGAUUCCGGGCUUUCCAGCUCUUGCUUACAAACCCUAAUACUCUCCCCGCGUCAUUCGAUCUUUGAAGCAUAGGUAAUUUCUCAGGGUAAUCCAUCGGUUUCGUGUUCUGUAGACUUUUGUGCUGUUUUGCACCAAAUGUGGGUUUUGAUUUUUUGUCUUACUUUUUUCGAUGCGCAUAACUGAGGCCUUUCUUGAUUGAUUUCCUGUUUUGUUGCUGAACGCCUACGGUGUUAAAGCUUUGUAAUUGUUGGUGUUUUGCUUUUCGCAAACCAAAGCAAGUAGCUUCUCCCCAAUCUAGAUUUCUUCUGCUUUGUAUUAUGCCUUAGUUUUGGAAAGAGAGUAUUCUGUUGCCCUCUAUGACGCUAAAUUCUAUAGAAUGAGAAAUUAUGUUGAAGUUUGAACCUUCUGCAGCCUGAAUUUUGGCGAUGUAGCUUUAAGAGAGGACAAGUGAAGUGGUUGCUGAUCAUGUGCUCGACACCCCCAGAAAAGUCUUCUAGACUUGGAGAUGUUCAAUGUUUCAAUGAAAAUGGAGAUAGGGCAACUGCAUCUUUUGAUAUAAGUGUGAAUUUUCCCCGAGUCUCAUCGCGAAUAGGCUAAGCAUGCAUCCACUUUAAAGAGUUUCACUGGUUUUGAAAAAUGGGUUAAAUUAUGGGUUACUAAAAACCUAUUUUUUUUAGUUUUAUUUUUUUCCUAACUCAUUUGUAACGGAUUUAAAAUAAAAGAGCUACCGACAUGAAAUUGGACUCAUUGAAUCCAAGUUGCAACAUGGGUUCAUCUGCCCUAAUUUUUUAAUAAAUAUAUAUUUUGUUGGUUAGUCUUUAUAGAUAUUUCAAUUUAUAGGCUUUUUACAUUUUCUAAUUGUUUAAUUUGCUUUUUUUUUAUUUGAAGUUUUUAUCUAAUUAGCAUAUAGCUUAAAACAGGUGUGAGUUUUUCUAGAAUCUUAAUGAGUUUUAGUAAUACGAGUCGGAUCGGAUAUGUGUUGGGUAUGAGUUGGGUUGGAUAUGGGUUAUUAGAUUUACUCUACAUGAAUAUGAGUUAAAGCGGGUUAAAUUGAUCAAUCUGAAUUGGACCAUUUUCGAUCAGAUCCAAAUUCAACCUAACUCACCUAUUUGACGAGUUCUUUUGUUUUCCACAUAUUUUAUGCCCGUAUGACAUUAAAUGGUUGGAGGGAUUUGUAAAUAAUUCUGGUCAUUACCUAGUGCUUUGAGUUGAUGGAAGGAGUUCCCGCCCAUUUGCAAACCUAAUGUCCACAAAUUACGCCUCAAGUCACGAAAUCUAAAAAACAUUCUCAAUCAAGAAUUUCCUUGUUUUCCAAGUGAAAACGACAUCGCGUGAAAAAUCCAAUGAUCACAAUCUUCCGGUCCUCAAUUGAAUUAGUCUAUGGGCAACUUAAAAUAUGAACAUUUGAGAAAUACAAAAUUUUCGUCAAUAAGGGACGUAUAGGCUAUCACUCGGAACUUCCUUAUAACGAGACAUUACCCAUCACGCAAAUGCUAAUCAAUUGAAGGUGUCGUAAAAAUGACUAAAAUGACUUUCUCCCUAGUAGUUGCACCCGAAAGAUUUUGAUUCACUUCCUUAUGAUAUUCCUUGUUAAUUGACCAGAUAGUAUCCCAAUAGUUACAAACUCUUUACAAUAACGAUUGGCAAUUGCCCUAGCAGCUAUCCUUCUCAUAUGGGAAAGGGGAGGUGGGGUGUUUGAUUCUCCACCUUCAGUAGUGAGGAUGUUUUAUUUGAAGUAUGGGUUUUACAUUUUGUAAAGAAUUGGGACAAAAGUUUGGAAGUGAAUUAAGAUUUAGAGUAUGAAAGAAUUUUUUUGUUUUUUUUUUUAAAACUAUAUGGUGGACGACUCCUAAAGAACUUUGGAACACCGGAUUUAUGAUUGAUCAGAAGAUGAACCGGAGCAAGUUGCCAGAUUCCUAGGCACCGAAAAAAUUGAAGAUGCACUGUUUGGCUAACCUCACUUGCAUGACAGAUGAAGCCAUUCCUACUGAAGAAAUCUGGUACACCUUUGCCCCGUGCACCUCAAGCUGUCAUCACUAGUUUCACAUAGUUUGCUCCGAAUGAUGCACCAUAUGAAUUCUGUGCCACACCUUGAAUCUCUUUCUUCUUUUUCUGGCCCUGCUUGUUUAUCUGUGCAAUAGAAAAUUUUGGUGUUCCUACCAUUUUGAGAGCUGGAAUUCUCAAAUUAAAGAAAGGAAAUUAAGAAGUAAGACAAAAAGGGGAAAAGGUUUGAUGACUGAGAGCAGUGGCACAGACAGUGACUAGAGCAAGAAAUCCAGUUUCUUCCCCACAUAAAUGAUUGGGGGACAAGGACUUCAAUUUGAAAUGUUCAUGCCCUCUUUACAUCUUCUCCAACAGCAAUCCUCCCACCAUUUCAAUCACUGAAGACUCAAAUUAUAUGUGAAAACAGAAGUCCAAACCACUGUAUGAAAGGAAAAACAGUAGGCUUCUAAUAUCAACGGGAAUUAAAUUUUCUGAGGGAUUUCUCUCGGAUUUUUCUUUCAAAAUUCAUCCAAGUGAUUCUUUUUCUGUUUCCUAUGCUUUCGAUAUCAAACAAGAAGCAUCCCCUUUCGUUCCUGUCCACGUCAGCGAUCACUACCCAGUUCUUAUUAUCUAUAAUGGCUCUUAAAAAACCCUAGCAAAGGCAUUCAUAUCUACCAAAUACCAUCAAUUACACUGAAUGCCGCUCGCCGCUGCCUCCACCAUUGUUGACCACCGCUUUGUUCCUUCGCAUCUCCAGCUCCCUCGCCGUGGACCUCCAUUUGGUGUAUUUACCAAAGAACUGAUCUAUCUCCUCUAACGUCCGCCCCUGAGUUUCCGGCAUCAGCACGUAAAAGAACACCCACGAAGCGCACACGAUCCCCGUGUACAAGAAGAAGGCACCGCCAAUGGUGAUUGCCUUAGAGAGCGACAAGAACGUCAUCACCAACACUCCACUCGCCACCCGAUUGAUGGCGACGCCAAUUGCGCACCCCUGCGCACGUAGCCUCAGUGGGAAGAUCUCCGAGCUGUACACCCACGCGAUUGGCCCCAGCCCGAUGGAGAAGAAGGCCACGAAGAACAACACCGAUGCGAUGCACAUGGCGACUGCCCACUUAAGAGUUGUGUGGCUGCGGUCGAUGAUGGUGAGGCACGUGGCAAGGGUGGCGAGCGAGACGAUCAUCCCACCGACGCUGCUAAGCAAUAAUGGCCGCCGCCCGACCCGAUCGAGGAGGAAGGUGGAGACGAGGAUAAAUAUUGUUUUUACGAAGCCUACUGCGAUGGUGGCUAGGAGCUUUUUGUCGGAGGAAGUGAUGCCGGCCUUCUCAAAGAUGCUAGGGCUGUAGAGGACGACGGCAUCGAUGCCGGAGGCCUGUUGGAAGAAGUGGAUUCCGACAGCACAUAUGAGGAUGUGCCGAACAGAUGGGGUUGGGUGGAGGAGGAGAUCCCGCCAGACGCCCUCCCCGGUGCUCCGCUUGGUGACUUUGACGACGUCGUCAAAACACUCUGCAGGAAUGCCGGCAGCCUCCUUGAUAUCCGCGAGUCGGAGCGCGGCCUCAUCCUUGGAGUUGGAGGUCCUGUCAAGAACCCGUUUUGCAUCGGCUAGGCGACCGUGCAUGAUGAGCCACCGGGGGGACUCCGACAUGGCAAGGACCCCCAAGGCGAGCAUGACCGAGGGGAUUGCUCCCACGCCGAGCAUUAGACGCCACCCAAGUUUGAGGGGAAGCUUGGAAAAGGCAUAGUUGGAAAUGUAGCCAAGGAGAACGCCAAGGUUGAUGAACACCUAAAAAAAUGACGUUUAUUUUAUGCCAGUACGCUCCCCAUUGGUAGUGUUAUAACAAAAAACUAUUUAACAACACAUUUUCUAAACGAGAAAAAUAAGCCUCUACUACAAGGUAUAAAACAUCAGUCAUCUAUACAAGUUCAACAUGAAAAGGUAAAAAAAAAAAUUAAUGACAUAAAAAAAAGGAAAAUAUAAUACAAAAUUAGGGUAAAAACAUAGAAAAUGAGAUGGUACCUCCGGGAAGGAGGUGAGGAAGCCGCGGGAGGAGACGGGGGAGACCUCGGCAGUGUAGACAGGGGCGAUCAUGAGGCCGUAGCCGACGCCGAUGCCGGCGACGAAGCGACCGAACAUGAGGAAGGCGUAGUUGGGGGCUAAGCCCAUGAGAAGGGCCCCGGCGAAGAAGAUGGCCCCGGACAACACGAUGGUGUAGCGCCGGCCGAUCCAAUCGGAGGUUCGCCCCGCCAUCGCUGACCCGACGAGCGAGUACAGAUUGAUGACCCCCAUCAAGACCUCCACCUCCACAUGGUUUAUCUUGAGUUCCUCCACAACAAAAAUGAUUGCCCCGCUCAUCACGCCUACGUCUGUCAAAAUUCAUGAAAAGUCUUAUUUACAAGAAAUUGAAAAGAAAUUCCCGUGUCCCUUUUCUUCCUCCCUUUUUCUUCAAAUUGAUUUUCCUUGUAUGUAUCAUUUAUAAGAUGAAGAUAAUGAGAAAUAAUAAGCGCAAUCGACUUUAUCUGAAAUUAACUUGUUUGGUUCAAAUAAAAUGGUAAAAAGGGAUGUUAUCCGAAAACCAUUUAUUGCAUACUUAUGUGGAGUUUUUACAAUUAAAGUCCAAAUGUUUACCCUUAAAAAUCAUAAUGAAAAAAAAUAAAGAAUGUUGCGGGUCAAUUUUCUUUUUCCAUUUCUUGGGAAAUUCUUUUUUCCUUUCUUUUUCUGUUUCUGAUUUCCUUCAUUUCCUAUAUCCAUCAGAAAAAUAAAAAUUGACCGUUGGCCAUGGAUCUAUCAUUUUUAUUUUUAUUUUUAUUUUUAUUUUGUUAACUGAGGAUCUGCCGGGUACCCUUGUCAGCUUAUGCCGAUUUGGAGUCCAGGGCCUCUGAGAGGCCCUUAGCGACUAUACCUCGGGGGAGACUAACCCAGCAACCUACUGCCGGGGCUCCCUGCUUCAAUCACUACCAGUGCAGGGUUUCGAACCCUCGACCUCCAUCGAAGGAAGGAGAGCUCUCAAUCAACUGCGUUGCUCACGGGUGAGUUGGAUCUAUCAUUUUUAUCGGUGACAAAGCUAGAAAAAGAAAAGCAAGGACUGAGAUAUAGUCUGAUUUCGUAUAAAAACAGAGUUGAGGUGCAAGAGGUUGAUUCACUGUAUGAAAAUUAAAUGCAAUGACCAAGCAAUGCUCGAGAUCGAGAGAGAGAGAGGACUGACCAUAUCCUAGCAAAACGGAGGUCAUGGAGGCCAAGAUGGCACAGGCGAAGGCAUACUUGUUCUUGCGCGGUGACUUCCGUUGGUUGCCAGCGUCGGAGAUGCCAUCUUUAGCCACGGUGUUCCGGUCAGCCAUUUCCAUCUUCUUCCCCAGAGAGAGAGAGAGAGAGAGAGACUUUCUUGGUGUGCUUAUUUGAAUGGAUUGAUAACGAGCGGAGAAGAAAUGAGAGGAGUGAGUGAAGAAGGUACACGAAUACCUGUGCGCAGAAAUGGGGAGUGCAUAAAUAGGCCGAAGCUCGCGUCGCUUGUCUUGGAAAGAGACCAAAGUUUGCGUGAACGUUGGACCAUGAUUCUGUGCUCUUGAAGGAUCUCCAAUCACUCGACUCAUAAUCUUCAUGAUCCUUUUUGUUUCACCUAAAAUAGAAUAAAAUAAAAUAACUACAAGCGGAGGAAAAAUACUUUUGUUUUUGUGGAAAGGGCACUCAUGGGAAUCUUUGUUUAAUUUUUCCUUACGCACGCACUUGAAGGUCAAUUUAAAAAUGUUAUUUUUGAUAUAUAACAUAUAUCAAUAUAUAUUGUCUCCGUAUGAUAGUUUUAGUUUUCCACCGUUCGUGUAUCACAUAUAUGGAAUUUCACGAUGAUCGUCAUUAGUAUAAUUCCGUAUAAUAUCAUAUUUUCACGCAAUUAGUAUAAUUCCGUAUAAUAUCAUAUUUUCACGCAAGCCGAGCACGCAAAAUUUGGAGAAAGAAUCUACGUCGAUGCGGAUUUUAGGUGUGGAUAGGAAUUAAAUAUGAAGUUCAUAAAAGUGGAAGGAAAAUCAUAUUUGUUAUGGCUUCCAAAAGUGCGGAUUACUUACAUAUGUGGAAACUUAUCCUCUAAUCUAGUCAGAGUAAUCGAUGCUUUGUCGUAUCCGUUUCGGAUUGAACUGACUUUGGAUGAAAAUUUGCACUAUUUUCCGCAAACAAGACAUUGUCCCCGUUUAAUGUCAUCAAAGGCAAGAUAUCGGUACCCUUUUUUUUUACCAUAUUUGGUAAUAUAUCUAAGGUCGUCCCUUGACUUGUGGAUUAUUAUGGGAAGUAAUUAAAUGGUUGAUUUGAAUCAACCAUGAUCCUCAAUUUGUAGCAACGUGUUAAUGAUUCCAACUAUGAAAAGGCAUAUGAGGAAACGAUAUCCAGCAAGUGUCCUAAAUUUGACUUUGCUGGCUUUCUUUUUGAUCAAAUCAAAAGGUGGAUUUAGUUUGAUGCGUUGGGGCUAAUCCAAAAAUCAAAAGCAAAGAAACAGAAAGGAAAAAAAAAAGGGGGGGGGGAGGGGGGGUGGAGCAUUGCUAGGGAGGGGAUAGGCUUGCUAGAUUUUGUUGAAAAGCCUCCAUCCACUAAAUUAAUUAUUCAUCUAUUGAAUAUUCAUUGCAGCUGAGUGAUGACUAACUGUUUAUUUGAAGUUUCUAUAUAUAAGAAUCACGUGGAGACCUUGUAUCUAGUUGGUAGCUGUACGGUCAAAUGGGAAAUUGUGUGAGAAAUGAAUAAACACCAAUUAUGCACUCCUACGAUACUGAUUUAUUAUGCAUAUGUAUAAACACUAUGUCCAGAGUUCAAGGUUGCCUAAGUGUAUGUGCUGUUUGAAAUGUACAGCAAGACAAAAGGGAUAGUUUAAAACAUUAUAUUAUUAUAAGUGUGAAUUUGAUGAAUUUAAAAAGUGUGCUAAUUGUAGGUUGCCCACAGAAAUGCCUUUUUAAUAUGAUGGCUUGAUUAUUGAUAUUAUUUUUUAUUUUUUAUUUUCUUGACCAGUUGAUUUCUCAUUGAUUGGACUGAAAUGUUCAAUGUCUUUAGUAACAGUAAGUUCUUAGUGCAGACUCAGCCCAAGAAUUCUCAAGUAUUAUGAGCAUGUUUAUUUUCCGCACUUAAAGCUCGAUUUUUGAAUUGCCGGAUUUGCCUUUCUCUAAUACGGCCACUUUCCAGAGCACAAAUCUAUAAGCUCAAGUUUAAUCGAUAAAGAUUUAUCGGAUACUCGAAAAGCUGCAGAUGCUCUAUUAUCAUGAGAAAAAAGAAGAAGAAGAUAUGAAGUUUUGACUUGACUUGCAACAAUUGAUUUGUGGAUUUUGUCAUUAUUAUAAAGAUUAGAUUGCCUUUAAUGAGGUAAGAGGACAAUAUAUUUUUUGGUAUGAUACUCUGAAAGAACUCCAAUUUUAGAUGUAAUCCCAAUUCUAUCUUAAAUUAUUUUUAUCCCAUAAAAGGUCAAAUUGCAAUUUACCUUUUUCAUAAAAAUCACAAACAUUUAUUUGAGGCUCAAAUUUGCCCAAUCAACCUCCCAUUCACUUUUUUUUUUUUUUUUUGAUAAUAAAAGGAUGGAAAACUUCCAAGCGCGAGCUAUACAAGUAUCCCAAGCCGAGUGUCUUGAGCGCAAGCUCUUUAACCAUGAGAGAAGGAAGACUCCUAAACAUGAGAGAUUGAAGACUAAGCAUAAAAUUGAAGGUCUCCUAGCCCAAGCGAGAUGGAAAGAAGACUAUCUUAAGAAUAAAAAACAACCGAAGAAAGCAAACUCUAAUUACUCUAGUUUUUCCCCAAUGAAGACGUCAUUUGGUAAAUGUGAAAGUUCUUCAAAAGACCCUUUUGGAUUUGAAAUUUAGGGGGAAACUAGAGUAAUGACAUGGAAAUACCACUUUAUUAAGGGCUAUUUUUGGACGGUUAAUGGAGUAGAUAGAAGAUUCAAGUAAAAGUUUGUGAUUUUUUAUUAGACAAAAGAAAUUUUAGUGUAGAAUUCGGAUUAGACCUAAAGUUGGUGAUUUUUUAUAUGAGAUCAAAAAAGUUUAAAGACUAAAAUUGAGACUGGACCAAAGUUUAGAUUAUUUUUCGUAAAGGGACCAAAACUUACACCUAAAGCUAAAUCAUUCCCACCACAAUCCCCCCAAGAAGGUGGGGAUUCAAAUCCCUUACAUCCCCUUCCUAUAUGGGAAGGGUGGCCAGUCAUCUCCCCUCUCUCUUAUAAUCAUAACUUUCCUAUACGGUUUCAUUUUCGUUUUCUACUAUCUUCAUCCUCGUUUUUUUCCCCAUCAAAUAACAAGAGACUUUUUUUUUUUAAUCUUCAUCCAUAUAUUAGGUCAAGAUAUAAAUUAUAGUACAUUGAUGGUGGUGUGAAUCUUUGUUUCAUUCAAAUAAUAUUAAGAAAACAGAGGAACUUGAAUGCCCAAAUUUGUACGUGAUGCACUAUGUAUAUAAAUAUAAAUUUAUAAUAUAUAUAUAUAUUUAUAUAUUAACUCUGGCACAUAUUCAUUAUCACAUGAUUCCAAAUGAGUCUGCAUGGUUUUUGACACGAACUUAACUAUUGAUGAAUUUUAUUGAAUUGUUGGUGAGAUUAAAUGUGUAUAUGUCAGAAAUUACUGCCCAUAGAAGUUUACAAAAAAUAAUUAAUUUUUUUAUUAAAUCACGAAUAUGAUUAAUAUAUCCAAUUUUCUAAUUCCAUAUUUAGAUCAUAUGAGAUUAUCGUGGCAUAUAUUGCGUGUCAUGCAAUGCUAUAAACAUUUGGUAUGUCUAAUAAUAUACAAUUUUUAAAUGGUUAAAUAAAAUUUUAACCAAAAAAUGGUUAGAUGAAUUUGGAGAACAAAAUAAAGAUUGAAAUACUUGAGAGAAAUAAACUAAAUAAACAGAGCAGAGGACAGUAUGAUUGGAAUUGAGAGUAAAAUUGCUAUCAUACUCUUUAAUUUGCGAGGUCAAAGAAAAGUCAACUGUGAAACUGGUUUAUGAAUGAAAUCAGACUCUUUAUUUCAAACAAAAAUUUCUGUAGUUUAUAUAGAAACACGUUUUUUAUCUAGGACUCAUACCGGUCCAAGGAUAAAUCAAGAAAAAAAAUACAUUGGGAUAAUUUCGGCUCAUAUUUUAAAGGGAAAAAAUCACCAAAAACCCAAAACCUUACUUAAAGUGACAAAUUUACCCUAAACUUUUUUUUUGUAACGUGAAAAACUCCGAAGUUUACUAACCGUGACACAUUUACCCAAAAAUUUCUUUUGUGACACAAAAAACCCUGAACUUUCAUUUGUGUGACACAUUUACCCUAAAUCAUAGGGGCAUUUUGGUCUUUUUACUUUUAAUUUUUUUUUCUUUUUUCUUCCCUUUGCCGGCCAUGGCAGAGCCGGUGGAGGGAAGCUGGCGUCCGGUGAGGGCCACCCUCGCCGGCGUCGAGCAAGGUCGGCCCUUGUCGACAUUCGGCAGGGGCCUCCCUUGCCAAAUCUAGCAAGGAUCUAGCACCCUCGCCCGAGUCCGGCAAGUGCACCCCUUGCCAAGCCUGACGUAGGUGAGGGCGGCCCUCGUCGGCGUCGAGUGAGGGCGAGCCUGGCGAGGGGUGCCCUCGCUAGACUCGGGCAAAGGUGGCAGAUCCUUGCCAGAUUUGGUGAGGGAGGCCCUCGCUGGACAUCAACGAGGGUCGAUCUCGCUUGAUGCCGGUGAGGGCAGCCCUCGCCGAUGCCGGCUUCCCUCCGCCGGCCCGGUGGAGAGAAGAAGAAAAAAAAACAUAAAUAAUAAGACGAAAAUGCUCUUAAUGGGGUAAAUGUGUCACAAUUUGCAAAGUUUGGGAUUUUUCGUGUCACAAAAAAAAGUUUGGGGUAAAUUUAUCACUUUGGGCAAAGUUUGGGGUUUUUGGUGGUCUUUUCCCUAUGAAUUUUUAAAGUAGGGCUAUUUAUUACUUGAUUGGGUAUUUGUGGCAUAAGAGUUUUUUUUUGUCACUUAAAUGUGAUUCCAUCCAAUUUAGGAGUGAGUGGGUCCGCCCAUUUUAUUUUUGUCUAUAUAAAAAUAAAAACAAACAAAAUCUUAGGGAGGAUUUUCAACCAAAUCUAGCAAGCCUAUCCCCUCACUAGCAAAGCUCUGUCUCUUUUUUGUCCUUUUCAUUUUAAUUUUGAACCUCAACGCAUCAACUUAUAUUCACUUUUAAUUUGUUAAAAAAAGUUAUCAAAGUUAAAAUUAAUAUACAAGAAAUUACUUCCAUAUAUGCCUUUUCAUAGUGGGAAAAGUUACAAAGUUACAACCAUUAAUACUUAUAAUUUGAGAAACUUGGUUUUUUUUGUUUUUUUUUUUUUUUUGUCGAGGAUUUGGCCUAGCUCACCGGCCUAGCUUAUCUUCAGAAGCAUAGCACCGACUAUACCUCAAGGGAGACUGGCCCAUCAACCCACCGCUAGGGCUCCCCACUCGAGAGUUUUGGUUUUUUUUUUUUUAUGCCGAGAAUCCAGCUUAGCUCACUUUACUGGAGCUCAAAAUCGACUAUAUCUCGGGAGAGACUAGUCCAGUAAUCCACCAGCCGGGGCCCCUCACUUAAGUUACAGAACUGCUCUGGGAGUUGUGGUAGACUCUGGGAGUAGAACUCCUGACCUGGCGGUCAGAAGGCCAAGCCUCAACGAGCGCAGCUAUGCGUUGGUGGGUUGGUUAUUUAAUAUCACCAAGUGUGAAGAAAGGAUAACAAUAUCUAUUUGAUGAUAUUAUUCAACCAAAAAAAAGAAAAAUAAAAAGAUGACAUUAGACGAAGACAAACUCUUAUUUAUCAAAUAUAGUGCAAAUUUCAACCAAAUUCAGUUCCAUCAAAAACAGAAUAGGGCACAAGCAUUGAUUAUAUGGAUUACAUUACAGGAUAAAACUAAUUAAUCCGCACUUUCGGGCCCCAUGUCAAAAAUAAAUCACGUUCCAAUUAUGACAGAAUGAGCUAUUAGUGUACCUGCUAUAUUUCGCAUAAAAUUUAUCUUUUAUAAUAGGAAAUUUGUAUUUACUAAGAUUCCUUCUCUAGUUUUGUGUGUUCAGCUUCAACGAAAAUCUAGUAUUUUGAAAUUAUAAUAAUAACAAUAAUCAUGAAGUUUGACGUGCCAGAUUAAAGACCAAUAAAGAAAAUAAAAAUACCUUGUGGAACUAAUAUAUUGAUAUAUAUCAUAAACUUGAGUUGAUUAAUCCUUACAGACACAUGCAAAUUGUCUGUCCACAGUCCGUCACGUUGAAGUGAUGUUCACCUUCACGAGUAUGCGGUGGGGAAGGGCAAGUCUUUCCCACCCAUUUUCGGAUGGAACAACAUUUUUUCUUAUUUAAAAUGACAAAAACACCCUUAUGGCACUAAUUCUUAAUUAAGUAGUAAAUAUCAUUACUCAAAUUCACAUGCUUUCCAUUCAAAGUGGGGUUGGAAGUCACCGGAAAAUAAUUUUCCCUUGAUUUAUCAAUAGAAUAUCCCGAACACAAAAGUGCGAUCCUAUAAAACGACUUGAUUUUUUAGUUUAAUACAAGGAGUCUGAUUUCAUUCAUCAACCAUUAUUAUAAUUGAUGUUUCUAUUGUAUUUACAACCAUAAGAGAACGAUUGCAAUUUUACUCUCAACGUCUCGAUCCAAUCAUACUAUCAUCUGUUCCGUUUAUUUUAUUUUCACUCUCAAUUAUCACAAUCUUUGUUUUGUCUUUCAAUUUUAUUUAACCAUUUAAAAUACAUAUUACUAUAUACGCCAACUUUCUAUGAUAUUGUAUGGUGCUGAAUCUUGAGGUAGAUAUGGGAUUAAAGAAUUUGAUAUUAAUCAUAUUAGUGAUUUUAAAUACAAUCGAAUUUGAUUUUUUUUAUAAACGUCUAUAUUAUGCGGAAGUUUCUGACGCAUACACACUCUAUCGCAAUAAGAAAUUUAUGAAAUCCUUCCAUAUUAAUCAACUUCAUGUGAAAAACUAUGCAAGCUCGAUCAGAAUUUUAUUAAUGAAUGGGCUUAAGUUAUAUAUUGGGAUUGAAUGGCGUAAUACAUUUAACAAAAAAUAUUGUAGAAUUAUGAUUAAUACUAAUACUACAUAACACGUAAAUUUAUUGCAUUCAAGUUUGAUUCCCGCUUCUUUUCUUUUUGUAUUAUUUGAACGAAAGAAACUUUCACGCCAACAUCAGUUUACUUAAAAUGAUUAGGCGUGUUAUGACUUAUACAGUGGUGAAGGUAAGAUUUUAUAAAUAGUUCAAAUAAUAACAUAAGUUAUGAAAAUACCUUGACCUAAUAUUUGGAUGUAGGCACAAAGAAAAGUUUCUCUGGUUGUUUGAUAGGAAAAAAUAUGGCAGGACGAAGAGAAUAGUAGAAAUGGAAAAUGAAACCGUAAGGAAGAGGAAAGUUACAACUAGAAAGGGAAAGAAGGGAGGAGAGAGAAACGUGGUUACUGUGAGUACUGUCAUUUAUUACUUGAUCGAGUAUUAAUGGCAUACGGAUUUUUUUGCCACUUUAAAUAAAAAGGUGUGAUUCGACCUAAAAUAAGGUGAAAAUAGCCUCACCCUUAAGAAAAUUAAUUUUAAAAAAAUGUUAAUAUAAAAAAAAUUUAAAUUAUGCCUUAUGUGACAUAUAUAUCCCGAACUUUUUUUAGUAUCAUUAAAAAUCUUAAACAUACUCACUAUACCUUAAACUUUUUUUGUCAUACAAAAUCCCGAACUUAUAUCAGUGUGGUAAAUAUGUCAUUAAUGGAACUGAAACAAAAUGUAUAUAUGUCACAUAUGUAUAAGUUUGAGUUUUUUGUUAAGGGUUUUUUAUGACCAAAAAAAAAUUUAUGUUAUUUAUGUCAUAAUGAGUAAUUUUGGAUUCUUUAUGAUAUUUGCCCUAGAGAAAAAGAGAAAAUGAUGUUGAACAUUCGGUUUUGUACUUCUUUUUUUGUUUUUUGGAUAAAUUUUGGUUUCGUGCAUUUUGAAGGUCAUUCUUUUAAUUUUAGGGAGGUCUCUUUGGUGACUUUGUAAUUAAUAUAUCGUUUCUUUUCCUUCUUUUCUUGUCAAUUAAAGGAGGGGGCAAGGUGGCUUUUAGUACAAGUCAAAGAGACGCGGGAAAUAUUUAAUAAUUGGUGCAUCAGGUUAAAAACUUCCAGUCCUCAAUCUUUCUACUCCAAAUCUAACAUAUGCUGAUGGCGUCGUUUAAAUAAUUUAGAGUCUAAGAAAAAAGAGGUAAUAAUAAAUACUUUAUUUGUUUGCAAAAAAUGUAAUAUUUCUUGAAAUUUUUUUUCUAGAAAGUCAUUUUCUAGGAAAAUGAUAAUAUUUUCCUUAAUAGACAUAUAUUAUUCGGUCGCUAGUAAUUUGCGUUUGGGUAAUUGGGGAACUUCAUAUGAGCACUAGAUUCCAAGGUCCAGUCGUGAUGGAACCCAACCCAACUGCCAAUGAUUGAGGUAGGGGCACCUAGGUCUUCGGCAUGGCUUUGAUGGAUUAGGGCGCAAGCCCGAGAUGUCGGGCCUAGUCAGGCCUGACCUCAAUGGACUUGAGUGCAUGCAUAAGGGUUUUAAGGCCCAGCCUUGAUAGAUUUGAGCAUAGGCAACUUGGGUCCUAGGCGUCGGUUUCAAUAGACAUUGGCUCAGGCACUAAGAACCCAAGCCCGAGUGUUGAGGACCUAGGCACGACCUUUGUGGACCUAGGCCUGAAUGCUAGGGACUAAGCUUGAGUAUUGGGGACCUAAGCAAGGCCUUUGUGGACUUGGGCUCUACAUCGAUAGACUUGGGCGCAUGCACCAGGGACUUGGGCACAAGCACUGAGGUCCCGAGCAUGGGCACUAGCACCAAAGUCGUGGGCCUAGCCUCGAUGUAUCCAAGCCUGGGCAAUGGAGACAUGGCUUUGGAUGUUGAAGACCUGGGAACCAUCAUUGGGAUUUUUAUGCCCAAGUGUAGAGUUGGAGGUAUGAGUGCUCAUACAUAAUCACAUUUUGAAAAAAGUGAUUUUAGAUAUUUUAAAGAGGAAAUAAUUUUUCUGAAUCUUAUAAUAGAUUUUUCAUUAACUAGGAGAACAUUUUUCAUUAACUCAUUUUUUUAGGCAAAUUAAAUAUAAAGAUAAGGAAAAUGUUUUAUGCAAAACAAAUACAGUCUAAUAGCUACAUACUUUCGGCUCUGAGCUCUAGGAAGGUUACCACUGAUAAGUCCUCACCCUCUUCUAGCCCUAUUUAUGCAUACUCAUGGGCUAACAAUGCACUAUUGCUGGACAAUGAUGGCGAUCAUAGACUAAGGGUCCAUUCGUUUUGCGAAAAACAACUUUCGGGAAAACAUUUUCCAAAAUUUCCGGUGUUCAGAUGGCGGAAAAUAGAUAGUUAAAGAAAAUGUUUUCUGGUCAAUGGAAAAUCUCCUCCUAAGAUUGUGGAAAAUAAUUUCCUCUUUUGAGAAGAGGAAAACAUUUUCCAUAACUUCUUUCACCUUCUUUCUCUUCACCAACACAUUUAUGCUUUCUUUUUCUUUUUUGUUAUUUUUUUAAAUCGAGUUUAUUUUUUUUCCUUUUCUUAUUUUCUUUUCUAUUUUUCCAUUUCAUCUUCUUCCUUGGUGGCGGUGAGCUUGGCUUCACCAGAUUGGGCUAGGCAGAGCUCUGACAGCCUGGGGCGGAGCUCGGGCCUCACCAGCCUGGGGCAGAGCUCGAGCCUCGCCAGAUUUGGCGACCGCGUCUUGGUCGGCCGCUAGGCAACCGGCUAUCGUCAGGCAUGCGGCGGCAGAGGAAGGAGGAGGAAGGAGGAAGGAAAAGAAAAAGGAAAAAAGAAAAAGCAAAAGAAAGAAAUAAUAAAAAACAAUAAAAAUUUUGAUUUUUUAAAAAUACAAAUAAUCAAAAAUUCAUUUUUAAAAAAUAUAAAAAAUAAAACUAAUUUUUUGGUCAAUUAAAAAUAUUAAAAUUCAAUUUUUGAUCAUUUUUCCCAAACAAUUAAAUUAGCUAAUGAACAAUGGAAAAUAUUUUUCACUAGAAGUUUAGGUUUCGGCCGAACACCGGAAAAUAGAAUCAUUUUCCUGGAAAAUGACUUCUAAGAAAAUGUUUUCCAGAAAUAUGAUAUUUUCCGCGAAAUGAAUGGAUCUUAAGAGAGACUCUUAUUUCUUUGUUAGCAAAAUACUUGUGCAUUGACAUAAACCUACAUGCAUAAUUUUUAGGACAAUUUUGGUCUCCGUACGUUUUUUUUUUUUUUUGUACAUAAAGAAAGUAUUCGUUUUGUUGUACAAUAAUUUAUACUUGCACAAGACGUACACUAUAUUUUACUCUAAUGAAGGUACUUAUAUUUGUGACAUGUUAGGAAAAAUUGUUUAAAAAGUCCAAAACCUAUAGUACGGAAGCCAAUUCAAUUCUAAACUUUUUUAAUUAUGCUAAUUUAAUUUUAAACCUUUUGAAGACUUGCCAAUUUAGUCUUAAGACUUUCAAUUGUGCUAGCUUAGUCCAAAACUUUAUGAUGAUUUGUCAAUUUAGUCUUAAAUCUUUUGAUAAUUUUCCAAUGUAAUCCUUCUAGCCAUUUAUCCAAAUAAUAGAUUUAUUUCUAAAUUGAAAAAUCGUCAAAAUGUUUAUAAUUAAAUUGACACAAACAAAGGUUUAUGACUAAUGACAAAUUAUCAAAAUAUUUAAAAUUAAAUUGGCACAAUUGAAACAUUUAUGACCAAAUUGGCUGUCAUACGAUUGGCAAUUAUCCCUAGCAUAUCUCGUACCUAAUAUUCAAUCGUGUAAGAUGUGAUUUGUCAUUUACCACUCUUGCAUGAAACAUAUGAUGAUAUUACAUCAUAUUCGUAUAAAUAAAUACAUUGUUCUUUUGAUUUCAUGAUACCAAUAGGAAUGCUUUCAAUGAAAAUUAUUUUAUAACUUUUUUAAUUUACAUCGUCUAAUUUAAUAUGCAUGUUUUUUUCAAUUAUAGAAUAGAUAAGAAAAACUCGGUAUAACAUUAUUUUUAUAUCCUAUAUAAUAAUCUUGAUUUUUUGACAUACUUUUUAGAAAAAAAAAUGACAAUAUAUUUCCAUCUUAAUCCGUUAUUAUUAUUUUUUUAAAAUUUUCACGUAUAUUACUAACAGAGCUAUUGUUGGGAGAAAGGAAGAUUUGACAAAUGUAGAUUCAUUUUUACUAAAGUGACUAUAUUUCGAAUAGUUUGCUCAUCGCAACGUUUUCUUUGGGCUUGCAGGUUGGGCCUAACACUCGAAGCAGAAGUCAAAUGGGUGAAACGACUGAUGGGGGUUUAUAUGAAAUAUUCCAACAGGACUGUGGGCCUGUUGGUUCUCCCAGUUUUGAAGCUGUACGUGAAAAUUUCAAUCAUUGGUACUGCUGGUUACGCAGUUGCUAGUCUUCUGCUUCAACCGAGAGAUAGGCACAAUGGCAAUCUUCUUUUUGACAAGUACAUCUUUCUCUCUCCCCUCUCUUUCUCUCUAACGUAUAUACAUUCUACUUAUGCCUUAGACAGCACCGACACUUUUUGAAAGCUUUCGUAUCGUAUUGGACACUUCAACACGUAUCGAAUACUCUCCGACACUUUGUCAAUAGGUGUCAGAUUUUCGGACACUUGGUCAACUUUCUUGACACUCUCUAAUACACAAGUCUGAAAUUUCGACAUGCGAGUUUGAAAUUUCGACACAUGAUUCCGAUACGCAUGGAGUCAAUUUUUAAAAUUUUCAAUAAAUAAGGGGUGCGAAAGCAAAUAUGUAAAAAAUAUAAAAAAUAAUAAAAAUAAAAUAGAAAAGAAGAAAAAUCUAGUGUUCGUCUUUUUUUUUUUUUUUUUGACUCUCACUUCCCAUGACAUACAAUUCACUCUUCUCUUCCGACACAUGCCGACAUACGAAUCUAGAAUGAGAAUUGGCUUUUUUUUUCUUCAAGUUUUAUGAAUUAUUGAAUGGAGUUGAAUUUGUUAAAUUGAAAUAAUGAAUGAUAUUAACAAAUGGUGGAUUGAAAUUUUUAGUGUAAAUUUAUUUUAGACUCUUUAUUUGUGAAUUUGAAUCAAUUAAUUUAAUUAAAACAAUCAUAAAAUGAUAAUUUAUCAUGUAUAUAUAAAAAUAUAUAUUUAAUAUACAACGUGUCCCAAUAUAUUGGAAUUUUCUCUAUUUUGGAGAAACGAUGUACUGGCGUAGUAUGUCGUGUCGUGUUGCGUGUUGCGUACCGGUGUUAGUACUCUUUAGCUUAUGCUUAUUUAGCAAUGUGAUCAGGCAUACCUCAGUUUAGAAACAAAGGAAAAUGGCAUUACGCAUGCCUUUUGAGCACCACUUUGGUCAUGCGGUAUUGAGGAUAAAAUAGUUCAUCUGAUUUUUCAUGGGGAAAGGUUUCAUUUUCUGUUGACUGGUGAUACUAUUCAUUCAAACAAAGCUAAUUUUAUAUUGCUGAAAAGUUCUGCAGAAAAAUUAAGGAGCCCUAGCAAUAUGAUUAAUGCAGCAUGGGACGGUUUGUACAUAUCGAUUCUGGUUUCAUCCUAGAAACGUUGUCAGGUGGAAAUAUGUGGUUUGAAAUUGUGUACUUCAAACUGAGACAUGAAAUGACUCAGCUCCUUGACAUUUCCGAAGUCAUGAAGAGUGAGACCUGGAAUCGCUUCGCGAGGCAAAGUAGAUUUAAUGCAGUCGAUCAUGGUAUCUUUUAUAAAUUGGCAAUUUGGGACUCGACUUGUUCACACAACACGAGCUAGCACAUAAUCAAGUGUAUCCUAGUUGAACUUAAUCCCUUUUGUCUUGUAAUUGUGGUUAACUAAUUAAUAAAAGGCAAAGGCAAAGAAUUAAAUCUUUCUGGUGUGUGAGUUGAUCUUCAUAGCCUAUAUAAAUUCAUUUAAGCAUGUUUGAUUAUGCAGCCGGACAUUUUAUUGAUACUAAGUGACCUAUUUCCACACACUUGGAUCUGUCUAUAUGCUUUUAAACAUACUCAAACAUGUUUUAACACUUUCAUAGGUGGGAAGUCAUUUUUAAAAUGUGUUAAACAUGUCAUUCAAGGCCCCCACAUAGUUGGAUAAAAGCUUAGUUUAUUGUUGUUGUGGCCAUUCUUGGAUGAUGUUGGUUGCAAAGAUGCAUUGUGAUCAAUGAACUUGCCACGUUCAGGUCGACGAAUGUAUGUUAUACUUCAAAUUUGAUGCGAGAAAACACAAAUUGCCAGCAAUGAUAUUUCAUUAGCGGAACUUUUACUGUCCAAUACCUUCUGACUUUGGUUAAGUUACAAUGGCUUCCUUGAUUGUUAACCAGUCAUUAUAUCAAAACUUUACAUUUGUCUUGUUCUUUUUAGAUUGUGUGUGAAGGGCUAUCUUGCUGGUCACCGUCACAUGGAUGAUAUCAUCAACACGGUGUUGUUAAUGGUGGAUUGUGGAUUGCCUUGUUUUAGCCAGGUGACCCCAUCAGCAAUUUGUGGAAGAGAUUUCAUCCUAAAAUGAGUGAGCGUGGGGCGGCUAAUUUCAUGAUUUGCACUUGUAUAGACCCGUACAACAAAUCGGCUACUGUUGGAUAUGACCUAAUACAGUAUCUACAGCAAGUCAUAGAAAAAUGAUUUUGUCAUCAACCCCUCUCCUCUUUCCUCUUCGAUUCUGAUGAGCUUUUGAACAAGCUGUCUUCACAUUAUACACUGUAAAGAUGCUGACAUCAUGUACAUUAUAUCUUUGGUUUGAUUGGCACUUAUUCUCACUCCUGGACAAAGAUGUACUGCUUUUCGAGCAUUGUGCGUUUGUAACAUUUUUGUUUAAAAAUUAUUUUUAGGAAUAGAAAUAGAAAAAAAUUAUUUCUAUUUCAGGAAAUAAUUUUUGAACAAAAAAACGCGUUUGGUAAACCUGUUCCAAAAAUAUAAAAAGAAUAGAAACACGUUUGGUAAAUUUGUAUAAUUUUUUUAUUUCUUUUAAUUUUUUAAUAUUUUUAUUUUAUUUUUUCUAUUUUUUCUAUUUUCUUAUUUAUUUUUCCUUAUUUUCUUUUUUCUUCGUUUUGUCGGUCGCCGGCCUCAGCCAUGGCUGGUGACCGGCCAACGAGGGCUAGUAGCCUCGCCUUGGUUGGGCGAGCUCAAGCUUGCCCAGAUCCGGCGAGGUCGAACUCGCCCAGCCCGGCAUGAGGUCGGCCUCACCUCACUAGGGGUUGGCGACACUCGGUCUCGCUGGGGGUCGGCGACACUCGGUCUCGCUGGGGGCCGGCGACGCUCCGAUGAGGUCACCGGCCCUCGAAGGCUGGUCGCCGUCCAUGGCCGAGGCCGGCGAUCGGCCAAAGAAAAAAGAAAUAAAAAAGAAGAAGAAAAAAGAGAGAAGACAAUGGAAGAGAGAGAAAAAGUGUUUAUAAAUUUUGUUCCAGAAAUAAGAAACAAAUUUUUUUUGUUUCUUAUUUCUGUUUCAAAUGUGUUUCUAAGAACAAAAAAAUAAUUUUGGAACAAAAACGUAAAUAAAUGCAUUUAUGUUCCUUUUUUGUUCGCUGGAAAAAAAAACAAAAAAAUUGUUUAAAAACAUAAAAAAGAAAUCAAAACAAACAGAUCCCAAUUCUCUCGAUUAUGUGAUGGCGAUGCGGUGUGCGCAUACUUCAAGGCCAAGAUCUCAAUCACUAGUUACAUUUGAUCUGACAGGUUCGAUCCCACGUUAUAGUGUGGCGAUCCUAGGAGACUCGUUAAGUUUUCGAAGUUGCAAUAGGUACACAUGAAAGCAGAUCUUAUCAUUUGUGUCUCAAACAUUACAGAAGGAAUUCCACGAGAAUUUGCUUCUUGCCUUGCCUUAAUAGGUAAUUCGAGUGUUGCCUCUAGAUGUUCUUGUACAUACACCGAUGCUUUGUCGAAGUGUGCCCUUUCAAAUAAUUUUCAUUUUGGGAUAAUGUUUUUUUUUUUUGGUAAAGAAAUUUUGGGAUAAUGUUUGAUCAUUAAUGUUUGAUCAUUAAAGUUUACGAAAAAUCAUAAGAAGUUUGAUGAUGGCUCUCUAUCCCCCAAGUUCUUAUGUUUGCCAUAUAUUUUAUGCUCGGAUAACAGGAAAUGGUUAGAGGGAUGUGUGUAAAUAAUUCUGUGCAUACCUAAUGCUUUGACCUGAUGGAAGGAGUUGUUGGAAUUUUGUUUGUUAAAACAAAAUGAGUGCAUUUUACCUUAUCUCACAUAGAAAAGGUGGGAGCAGGAUGGUCAGUUUAAAAAUGUGGAAUUUUCCUUUUGUGGUUAAAUGAGUGAUUAGGUGUGGCUAGACCCCACCAUACCCGCAUGCGGGUGCGCGAUUAUUUGGCGCACUUAGCACUUAGCACUUUAAUUAGCAUUAAUCCCUUGCUUUUUAUUUAUUUAUAUUUUUUUUUGGUUCAAAGGUUGCCUUUUAAUUUGAGAAUUUCGGAAAUGAAAUAUAAAUGAAAAUUCGAAAUUCUAUUUAAUAUAUAUAUAUAAAUAUAUAUUAUUCCGAAUUUUAUUUGUGUCUUUUCAAGACAACUUUUGGAAAAUUACUUAUUCGGUUUUAAUUUUUCCGAAGGAUUGCAUUUGUUCGUUUUUCGACUUCUUCCGAAGAGUCGCAUUUGUUUAUCCUAACAAUUUUCUAAAGACGUGUAUGUUCGCAAUUUUCACGAAGAGUUGCAAGACUGUUUCAUAUAUAUACUUGUCAUUUUUCGGAAAGAAUAGAGUGGUCAUUUUCGAGUCUUCUUUCUGAAAAAACAGCAGCUAAUUUUUCGAUUGUUUCUUAGAGAGACCUUGGAGAAAUACUAGAAUUGCUAUUUAGUAUUCUCAUCCGAGACUUUGUUGUAUCCUGGAGGAUUUUUGCCGGUGACCAUUAGCAACGUUGUGGGGCAAAUAAAUCCUUAAAGAAAGUGAUAUCACGCCUCAAAGUCCGAGUUGUUUUACUCGAUCCGAUUUCAUUGUACUACCCAAUUUCGAAGCAUAUUUCACCAACAAUUUUAAGGAUUUAUCUUGCUACAAUGGAGUCGGAGACAAUCAAAGUUAUGAAUCAAGAUAUGGUCAAACUAGACCGGUUCGAUGGGAACAAUUUUGCUCGUUGGAGGGACAAGAUGAUGUUCUUACUCACUGCUCUGAAGAUCUCCUACAUUAUGGAUCCUAACUUGGCGCCUAUAGAAGAUCCUAAGCCUACUUUCGAUGGAGGACAGCCAAGUGCAGAAGCCAUUGAGAGGGUUAAUAAGGAAAAGAAGAAACGUGCGGAGGAUGAAUUACUUUGUUGAGGACACAUUCUGAACACACUCUCCGAUCGUCUGUACGACUUAUUCACUGAAAUGAAGUCGGCCAGAGAAAUUUGGAAUGCACUGGAAUUCAAGUACAAAGCGGAGGAGCAAGGUACCAACAAAUAUCUAAUUGCAAAGUAUUUUGAUUACAAGUUUAUUGAUACUAAGCCCUUGCUGGAACAAGUCCAUGAAUUGCAAGUGAUUGUGAAUAAGAUUCGUGCUCUCAAGAUUGAUAUUCCAGAAGCUUUUCAAGUUGGAGAAAUUAUUGCGAAAUUGCCUCCAAGUUGGAAAGACUAUGGAAAAAGGCUGAUUCACAAGUCGGAGGACUUUACUUUGGAGCAAAUAUAGAAACAUCUUCGCAUUGAGGAAGAGUCACAUUUACGUGAUAAUUCUGUUUUGUACAAUUCCAAGGUGAAUUUUGUGGAUAAAAAAUGGAAACUCGGCCAGAACUUCAAAGUAAAAAGCGGGGGGCAUAAAUUCAAGAGAACACAAAAGAAGCAAAAGGGUUGUUGUUUUGUAUGUGGCAAACAGUGACACUACACCAAGGAUUGCAUUCACCGUAAGAGCAUUUCAAAGGACAAGAACAUUCCGGUGGUGAAAGCAGAUGCAAAUCUGGUUGAAGAAAAUUAUGUAGCCAUGAUUUCGAACAUGUUUUCGAACAUGGAAAUUUCUGAAAUAAAUGAUGCUAUGGCUAUGGUUUUUGAAAUUAAUUCUACCACUGUCCAAUCCGGUUGGUGGAUAGAUUCUGGAGCAACUGUUCAUGUGUGCAAGGACAAAUACAUGUUCAAGAAAUUUGAAGAAAUUGUUGACUCAAGUGUUCAAGAGGUCCUGAUGGCGAAUAAUGCUCUUGCAAAGGUUGCUGGAAAAGGCACGGUGGAGAUAGACUUCACUUCUGGAAAGAAGAUAACUCUUCUUAAUGUGUUAUUUAUACCCGAAAUUAGGAAGAACCUAGUUUCUAUUGAUUUACUUUGUAAGAGGGGGUUUCGGGUUUUGUUUGAAUCCGACAAGGUUAUCCUGUCAAAAAAUGGGCUGUUUGUUGGGAAGGGUUAUGCCAAUGAUGGCAUGUAUCAACUGAGUAUCAAUAAUAAUAUUUCUAGUUCUGCUUAUAUUGUCGAGUCUUCAAUUUUAUGGCAUAGUAGGUUGGCACAUAUAAAUUUUCGUUAUUUGAAGAAUAUGAGAAAAUCAGACUUGAUAAAUUUUAAUGGCGAAUUUGAUAAAUGUGAAAUAUGUGCUAAGUCAAAACUUACUAAGAAGCCAUUUCCUAGUAUUAAAAGAAAUUCGAAUUUAUUGGAUUUGGUUCAUAGUGAUAUAUGUGAAUUUAAUGGUAUGCUAACACGUUGAGGUAAAAGGUAUUUUAUUACCUUUGUGGAUGAUUGUAGUAGGUUCUUAUAUGUUUAUCUCAUGAGAUCAAAGGAUGAAGCAUUUACCAUGUUUAAGAAAUAUAAAGCUGAAGUAGAGAAUCAAUUAGAAAAGACAAUCAAAGUUCUACGAUCAGAUAGAGGUGGAGAAUAUUUCUUAAAUGAAUUCUCUUCAUUUUGUGAAGAACAUGGUAUUAUUCAUCAAGCUUCAGCACCAUAUACUCCACAACAGAAUGGUUUAGCUGAAAGGAAAAAUUGAUCUCUUGGAGAAAUGGUUAAUUGUAUGCUUUCAAAUUCAAAGCUACCAAUUAAUCUUUGGGGAGAAACAUUACUUACUGCAUGCUAUAUUCAUAAUAGAAUACCUUCCAAGAAAAAUGACAUAACCCCUUAUGAAAUAUGGAAAGGAAGAAAGCUAAAUUUGUCAUAUCUUAAAGUGUGGGGGUGUUUAGCAUACUACCGAGCUCCAGAUCCUAAGAGAACAAAGCUCGGUCCUAGAGCUAUCAAAAGUGUCUUCGUAGGGUAUGCUGAAAAUAGUAAAGCUUAUAGGCUUCUUGAUUUAGAGUUUAAUGUCAUAGUAGAAUCGAGAGACGUCGAAUUCUUUGAGAAUAAAUGUUUUACAAGUUCUGAAAUGAUUGAAAAUAAUUCAAGAUCUAGGGAAACUCAAAGUGAUUUUCAAGAGAAAGAAACGAAUUCUAAAGACAUGAUUGAACUAAGGAGAAGUACUAGAGCUAGGAAAAUAAAAGACUUAGGUCCUGAUUUUAUUACUCAUGUUUUUCUUGUUGAAGGAGAUGGAGAUAAUAAUGUGGUAAAUAAAUACCCUUUAGUGUUAAAUUUAGAAGAUGAUCCUGGAAGCUUUGAUGAUGCUAUGUCUUCUAGAGAUGCUUCUUUUUGGAAAGAAGCUGUGAAUGAUGAAAUGGACUCAAUUAUGUCCAAUUAUACUUGGGUAUUAGUAGAUUUACCGAAAGGAUCAAAACCUAUUGGAUGCAAAUGGGUUUUUAGAAGAAAAUAUAAUUCUGAUGGUUCUAUUCAAGCUUUUAAAGCUAGGCUUGCAGUUAAGGGAUAUAGACAAAAAGAAGGAAUAGAUUAUUUUGAUACAUAUGCUCCUGUUGCACGUAUAACUUCCAUUCGAGUUCUUUUUGCUCUAGCUUCCAUUUAUGAUCUUUGUGUUCAUCAAAUGGAUGUUAAAACUGCUUUCUUAAAUGGAGACUUAAAUGAGGAGAUUUACAUGGAACAACCGGAGGGUUUUGUUUUUCCUAGAAAUGAAAGAAAAGUAUGUAAAUUGAUUAAGUCUCUUUAUGGACUUAAGCAAGCUCCUAAGCAGUGGCAUGAAAAGUUUAAUUCGGUCAUAUUGUCAAAUGGUUUCAUCAAUAAUAGUGCCGAUAGGUGUAUAUACUCUAAAUUCACUAAAGACUAUGGUGUCUUAGUGUGCUUGUAUGUUGAUGAUAUGCUUAUCUUUGGAACGAAUAUGACUGGAGUUAAUGAAACUAAGAAGUAUCUAACUUCCAUGUUUAAAAUGAAGGAUUUGGGUGAAGUAGAUACUAUCUUAGGUAUUAAAGUUAAGACAAAUAGUGGGGGUUAUUCUUUAAGCCAAUGUAGUUAUGUUGAAAAAUUAUUAAAUAAAUUUCAACAUCUUGGUUUUAAAGAAAUAAGUACUCCAUUUGAUUCUAGUAUUAAAUUAAAUUAUAAUACUGGUAGAGCGGUGGCACAACUAGAAUAUGCAAGUGCUAUAGGGUCUUUAAUGUAUGCGAUGCAUUGUACUAGACCCGAUAUUGCUUAUUCUAUAUGCAAGUUGAGUAGGUAUACAAGUAAUCUAAGUACAGAACAUUGGAGAGCUAUUACUAGAAUUUUUGGUUAUCUUAAGAGAACUAAAAAUUUAGGAUUGUUCUACAAUAAUUAUCCGGUUGUAUUAGAAGGAUACACCGAUGCUAGUUGGAUUACAAGUGUGGGAGAUGAGCGUUCCACUUCUGGAUGGAUCUUCACACUAGCUGGAGGUGCUGUAUCUUGGGCGAGCAAGAAACAGACAUGUAUAACUCACUCAACAAUGGAAUAUGAAUUUAUUGCUUUGGCGGCAGCUGGGAAAGAGGCUGAAUGGAUUAGAAAUUUGUUGUUGGAUAUCAAAUUAUGGCCUAGUCCUAUGCCUCCUAUUUCUAUCCACUGUGAUAGUCAUGCCACUUUGGCAAGAGCCUAUAAUAGCACCUAUAAUGGUAAGUCUAGACACAUUAGUCUAAGACAUGAAUAUGUGAGACAAUUGAUUAAAGAUGGUACCAUAACAAUUGUCUAUGUGAGGUCAAGUAAAAAUCUUGCCGAUCCUUUGACGAAGGCUUUACCAAGACAUAUGGUAAUAACGACCUCACAAGAAAUGGGGCUGAAACCCUUUAAUUGAAAUCACCAAUAACGGUAACCCGACCUUUUUCUAGAACAUCACUAGUUACAAGGUUUAAUGGGUAAGAACAAGUUAUUGAAUGUGAUUGUUUGAUACUGACAUAGCCCUAAUAUGAGAAGUCAGUAUUGUCUGUUACGUUUUGUAGUCUGAAUUGAAUUCUUAAUAAAGUAUGAUACAAGUUUGUAGUGUGUUAAUAGUAACAGAAACACAUGGUAGAUACUUCAUAUAUAUGAGCUUAGAAGUGGUGCCGCUUCUUACGAAAGUGAGGGUUGCUUUCUAGAGAGCUCAUGAAACAGGAUCAAGCACAAGGCCAUACUAGUGCGGAGUAAUAUAGAAAUUCUCGCUGAAACAAGAGGUUAGUAUAUGUGUGGUAUGUCCGAUUCUAUUACAUAAAAGUACAAGUUUAAAGCCGAGCUACUUGUUACUUUGAUAGAGCUUUGAUAUACUUGCACUAAGUACAUGUUUAACUCGAAAGAGACCUUUAUGUAUGUAUAUUAAUCUUACUGAAACUUUGGCUGUAUGGUUUUUUAAAAUUUUAUUUUGAAAUCUUUGUUUUACAAACAAAGUGGGGGAUUGUCGGAAUUUUGUUUGUUAAAACAAAAUGAGUGCCUUUUACUUUGUCCCAUAUAGAAAAGGUGGGAGUAGGAGGGUCAGUUUAAAAAUGUGGAAUUUUCCUUUUGUGGUUAAAGGAGUGAUUAGGUGGGGCUAGACCCCAUCAUACCCGCGUGCGGGUGCGUGAAUAAUUGCGCGAUUUUGACUCGAUUAUUUGGCGCACUUAGCACUUUGUGCGCCCGCCGUUUAAUUAGCAUUAAUCCCUUGCUUUUUAUUUAUUUUUUAUUUAUUUAUUUAUAUAUUUUUUUGUUCAAAGGUUGCCUUUUAAUUUGAGAAUUUCGGAAAUGAAAUAUAAAUGAAAAUUCGAAAUUCUAUUUAAAAAUAUAUAUAUAUAUAUAUAUAUUAUUCCGAAUUUUAUUUGUGUCUUUUCAAGGCAACCUUUGGAAAAUUACUUAUUCGGUUUUAAUUUUUCCGAAGGAUUGCAAUUGUUCGUUUUUCGACUUCUUCCGAAGAGUCGCAUUUGUUUAUCCGAACAAUUUUCUAAAGACGUGUCUGUUCGCAAUUUUCACGAAGAGUUGCAAAACUGUUUCAUAUAUAUACUUGUCAUUUUUCGGAAAGAAUAUAGUGGUCAUUUUCGAGUCUUCUUUAUGAAAAAACAGCAGUCAAUUUUUCGAUUGUUUUUUAGAGAGACCCUUGAGAAAUACUAGAAUUGUUAUUUAGUAUUCUCAUCCGAGACUUUGUUGUAUCCUGGAGGAUUUUUGCCGGUGACCAUUAGCAACGUUGUGGGGCAAAUAAAUCCUUAAAGAAAGUGAUAUCACGCCUCAAAGUCCGAGUUGUUUUACUCGAUCCGAUUUCAUUGUACUACCCAAUUUCGAAGCAUAUUUCACCAACAGGAGUUCCUGCCCAUUUGCAAAUCUUAAUGUCAACAACUUAUACCUCAAGUCACGAAAUCUAAAAACAUUCUCGGCCAUGGAUUUCCUAGCUCCUUCGGUGAAAAUGACAUUGCGUGAAAAAUCUAAAGAUUGCAAUCUUUCGAUUCUCGAUUCUCGAUUGAUUCAGUCUACGGGCAACCGAAAAAACAUCAACAUCAGACAAACAUAGUUAUCGUCAAUCGAGGGACAAACAAAUAAUCACUUAAAAUUUCCUUAUCAUUAUGAGACAGCACAAAACGCAAAAUCCAACUUAUUUCUCAAAUGCUAAUCAGUUGAAGGCAUUAUCAAAAUGACUUUCCUCAGUUGCACCCAGAUAACAUGAGCUUGGUCUCUGGUUCAAUGCACAGUUGCAACUUCACUCAAUCUAGUUGAUUAAACCAGCACAUCAAAAUCAUAGAACCAAGCUUUGCACUACUGGUAUUGGUAUCCCUUGUUGGCCGACCAGACACUGACCCGAUUUUUGCUUUAAACUCUCUGUAGUUGACGACUCAGAAAGAACUUUGGACCACCAAAUGCAUGAUUGAUUAGGAGAUGAACCAGAGAGAGGUGUCAGAUUCGCAGACACGGUACUAACUGCACAUGCACCGUUUGGCAAGCCUCGCUUGCACGACGGAUGAAGCCAUUCCUAUUGAAGUCGUCUGGUACGGUUUCUCUCUUGUGCACUUCAAGCUGCCAUCACUAUCUUUGCAUAGUUCACUCUGAUUGAUGUACCAUACGAAUUCUGUGCCACAUCUUGAUUUUUUUUUUUUUUUCUUUUUGCCUUUUUCUGGCCCUGCUCGGUAAACUGUGCAUAAAGAAAAAGUUCUUUUUGAGCGUGAAAUUUUGGUGGUCCUACUAUUUUGAGAAUUAGGAACCUCAAAUUAAACAAUGGAAAUUAGGAAAUAAGACAAAAAAGGGAAAGGUUGAUGGCUGAGAGCAGUGCCACCGACAGGGACUAGAGCAAGAAAUCAGGCCCUCCCCACAUCAAUAAUUAGGACAGUGCACCGAUUGAAAUGUGUUCAUGCCCUCUUUAAAUCUUCUCCAUAAGCAAUCCCCCCACCAUUUCAAUCACUCAGCGGUGGACCCUUUUCUUAGAAGCACGACCACCACAUGAUUUUCGAAAGUGCAGCUGAAAAGUUUUUCUUUAUUUUCUUUACUUAUUUAUUUUGAAUGAGCAACAUGACCACCCUAUCAUUAAAAUCAGAUGAGAGCACCCUGUUCCCUCUCAUAUAUUUUGUAUCGAAACUCUUGUGAGACCAGAAAUUCUAUGAUAUAAUAUUGUACCGUACAUCAUUUAAAAAAAUAAUUUUCCCCUAUCAAGUGGGACAAAAAAGAAUAACGACUAGAACAAGUAGAAGAAAGUGAAAUAAAUGGAAGUUGUCAUAUUGAACGUAACGACUAUUUUCAUUCCUAUACCUAGAUGUUCCCAUUAAUCUAGUCAAUUAACAUCGCGGUGUUUGGAAACAUCAACCAACCAAAUUAAAUGCAUAAGUAUACAUGUAGCCAGUCAAAAUUUUCAAGCCUUAGUGAAAGAUGUAGGACUUACCAAAUUAAGACAUUGUAAUAUGUCAUCCACACUUUUCAUGAAUUUAUAGGAUUUUGAACCUCCAUUAUCUAGACACUCCCAUCCGCUUCAAAUUUUCUUUUACAUAGGAUCGAGAUUUAAAUCGUGAUAAGAUUAUAAAUCGAGAUCAUAAAAUUAGUAAGAUUGAACAAUAUCAAAAACUUUUACGGAUUUUAAUCUUUCUUCAUUUUAUAGUGGAAUGUCUCAAAAGAGCAAAAUUGGACUAAAUAAUGUCUUGAACCUCAAAAUAGAAAUUGCAACAGGAGUUUGAUCAGUGAAUGUUUGCUCCUUUGCUUUGUGCUUUGUGCCACGAUGAGCAACUCAGCCAACGAUGUACUUUUGAUUUAUUAUAAGACUACAUAUUUACUUGACUUCUCUCUGUCCUCGCCACCGCGGGGGGCGCCAAAAAGAAAAGUUUGCUUUUUCUCGAUAUAUAUUUAACUAUAUUCAUCGGUUAGAGAAUGACAUUAUCCUAGCUAUUUUUAAAAGCUUAAUCGAUGGAUAGAUUUAUCCAACAUCUAUUGUAUCUUACGUGAUAAUUUGUGUAGUGAUCAUCAAUCCCCUUUUUCUUAUUCAAUCUAUGAAUUAUGUCAAUUUAAUUUCAUUUGUUUAUGAACGAAUAUGAAAUUGUCGUUGGGUGUGACAUAGCCUUACUUGGAAUAUAACCUAAAUUCAUCGUAAAGUUGAAAAUUUUAUAUGUGGAUUCACUUAAGUGCGGCAGAAAAAAAGGUAGUCUACCAGGGAAGGGAAGUGACAACACAAUUCAUAGCUUCUACAUUUGAUGACAAGAAUAAAUUUAGAUUUGGCAUAGCGGUACCGACUUUCACACGAUAAGAACCACCCAAGUUCCGAACUUGAGAUACCGAGGGUAAUAUUCACUAUUAAAUGAAAUGAGUGGAAAUUGAUGUUCUUCCAUUGGAUCCAUUUAUUCACGAUAAAUUCGAUUUUGACAUAAUAGUUCCAGAUGAUAACCUUCGUAAAUUAUCUAAGUAAAGAUCCAAAUUGGUGGUGAAAACAAAAGUCCCAACCACUGUAUUAAAGGAAAAAGAGUAGACGACUAAGAACCAAGGAAUUUCUCUCGGCUUCUUCUUUUGAAAUUCAUCAUAGUAAUUCGUUUUUGUUUCUUUAAAAUGCCAAACAAGGAGCAACCCUUUCCGGCAUUAUCCACGUCAGCAAUUAUCAAACCAAAUCACAUUACGUAUAAUUACUAUAAAAACCCUAACAAAGGCAUCCAUUUCCACCGGAUGUACCCUACCUUUAUAAUCAUUUCCCUAAUUGGCCCUCGCCAUUGCCUCCGUUGCCGUUGACCACCUCUUUAUUCCUUUGUAUGUCAAUCUCCCUUGCCACGGACCUCCACUUGGUGUAAUUACCAAAGAACUGCCCCAUCUCCUCUAGCGUUCGCCCCUGCGUCUCCGGCAUUAGUAUGUAGAAGAACAACCAUGCGGCACACGCGACUGCCAUGAACAGGAAAAAGGCCCCGCCGAUGCUGAUCGCCUCGUAUAGCGAUAUAAACGACAUCGCUAACACUCCACUCGUCACCCGGUUCAUGGCGACACCGAUCGCGCACCCCUGCGCCCGGAGCCUUAGCGGAAAGAUCUCCGAGCUGUACACCCAUGUGAUUGGCCCCAUCCCGAUGGAGAAGAAAGCCACGUAGGACAACACCGACGCGAUGCACACGACCACCGCCCACAUGAGUUUCGUUUGGCUAUGGUUGAUGAUCGUGAGGCACACUCCGAGGGAGCCGAGUGAGAUGAUCAUCCCGCCAACGCUGCUCAGUAGCAACGGCCGCCUUCCGAUUCGGUCAAGGAGGAAGGUGGCGACGAGAAUGAACAAUGUCUUUACGACGCCGACCCCAAUGGUGGCGACGAGCAUUUUAUUAUCGGAGGUGAUGCCGACCUUCUUAAAGAUGCGAGGACUAUAGAGGACAACAGCGUCGAUGCCAGAAGCCUGUUGGAAGAAGUGGAUCCCAACGGCACAAAUGAGAAUGUGGCGAACGGACGGCGUUGGGUGGAGGAGGAGAUCACGCCACACACCCUCCCCGGUGCUCCGCUUCGUGACCUUGACAACAUCGUCGUUGCACUCCUCAGGGAUGCCAGCAGCCUCCUUGAUGUCCGCGAGCCGGAGUGCCGCCUCCUCCUUGGAGUCAGAGGUCCUGGCUAGGACAGUCUUCGCAUCACCCAAGCGGCCUUGCAUGAUGAGCCACCGAGGGGACUCCGGCAUGGCGAGAACCCCGAAGGCAAGGAGGACGGAGGGGAUUGCUCCCACACCAAGCAUCAUACGCCACCCGAGGUUGAGGCGGAGCUUGGAGAAGGCAUAGUUGGAGAUGUAGCCGAGGAGGAUGCCGAUGUUGAUGAAUACCUAAACCACCAAAAUGACAUCCAUUCAUACCAGUGGGCUCCAUGUUGGCGGCCGUAAUAACAACAAGUUCUAAAUGAGAAAAAUAAGCCAUAAACGUGAAUCACCAUUCUAAUUUUUAAAUUUUUCCCCAUAGUAAGAAUACUGCACAUGCAACAUUAAAAAGACAAAAUUAAUGAAAAAUGAAAACAAAAAUGAGAAAGAUGCUACCAAUUUAGGGGGAGCCAAAUAAAAUAAAAAAAAUGAGUUAGUACCUCAGGGAAGGAGGUGAGGAAGCCGCGAGUGGAGGCAGGGGAGACCUCAGCGGUAUAGACGGGAGCGAUCAUGAGGGCGUAGCCGACGCCGAUGCCGGCGACGAAGCGGCCGAACAUGAGGAAGGCGUAGUUGGGGGCGAAGCCCAUGAGAAGGGCCCCGGCAAAGAAGAUGGCCCCGGCCAACACGAUGGUGUAGCGGCGGCCGAUCCAAUCGGAGGUUCGCCCGGCCAUCGCUGAACCAAGUAGCGAGUACACGGCGAGGAUCCCCGUCAAGAUCUCCACCUCCACAUCACUUAUCUUCAAGUCUUUCUUUAUGUAUAUGAUUGCCCCACUCAUCACCCC